GUGCUAAUGAAAGGAACAGGCGCAAUGAUAGGCCUCGUAAUAACGACAGGUCAAGAAAUUUUGAAAGGAGAAGGGAAAAUGUGGUGAACAGAGACAUGCAGAGUAGGCCUCCAGUGCAGAAUUCUGGUCCACCUCCCAACAAUUCUUCUGGAUACCCUCCCAACAAUUCUUCUGGAUACCCUCCCAACAAUGCUGGCGGAUACCCUCCUAACAAUCAAGCUGGAUACUCCCCUCCAAAUCAAUCUGGAUACUCCCCUCCAAAUCAAGCUGGAUACGCCCCUCCAAAUCAAGGCGGAUACGCCCCUCCAAAUCAAGGUGGAUAUGCUCCUCCAAAUGCAGGUGGUGGAUACCCUCCCCCCAACAUGAGCGGACCCCCUCCUCCUAACAUGAGCAGACCUCCUCCUCCCAACAGUGGAUACGGUGCUCCUCAAAAUAACUACCUGGGGCAACAAAACCAGAACAUUGCAGGGAUGCCUCCAAAUGCUGGAUGGUCAAAUAAUCAGUAGACUCUCACCAAAUAAAUGCUAUGAUGUCUUGGACUUGAUUCAUUAUUAUUUACGUUGGCCACAAGAAUUUCUCUAGAUCAUAUGUGUUCCGGACAGCUUCUCCUCUUGCACCUUCUCGCAGAAUGACCAACACUCCAUACUGUGAGCUAUUAUUAUUAAUAGCUAAGAAGCCAAAAUAGUUUAUGUAAAUAUGUAAUGAAUGGUCCUUGACAUUUUGUACAAGCGACUUGACUUGAUCAUUUUUGCUAUUUUCUAUUUAAGUGUGUGGUACUUGGAAAGUAUUUUGCUAGUUCAAAUUCUUCGAUUAAGAAUGUAUGCAUAUAAGAAGCUUUUCUAGUGAGCUUAAAUUUUGACUGUGCAGUGUUGGUGUCUGGUUGCCCCAAUAUCUUCCUCAUCCCAUGCAUCAGUUUUACUAUUAAGUCAAUGAUAUCUUUUUAACUUUAAUUAAGAAAUCUCUGCACAUUUUUUAGAGUGAAUAAUCAUUUGAAAGCUCUCACAAACAAGUGGCAGACCAGGGUUUCAUUCAGCUGUAAUUCACAUUUUUGUAAUACCCCGCUUUUAUGGGUCUGGGCACGGGUACGGGUAAUACCCACAAAAUUAAAUGGGUAUGGGCACGGGUAAGGGUACUAUACUGCCCAGACCCGCAUACCCGCAUAUACAUAUUUAUAUAAUAUCAUAAAUUAUUUAUUUAUUUUUUAUGUAUAAUUAAUUAAUUAUUUAGCUAUUUAAGCCUAAACCUAAACUUAAAUCAAACAACUACUUAAUACAAUAACAACUCCAUCAUGCCGGUGUAUAAUUUUUUAGGAAUAUUUCGGAUGUUUUCUAUUUGACUAAAUACCACGGUUCAUAUUAUUUUAUGAGUUAAUUUUAAAAAAUUGGGAUCGUAGUUUUAUUUCAUUUGUGAUGUUUUUUUUGUUUUUCCAUAGUUAAAGUGCGGGUAAUGGGUGCGGGUAUGGGUACUUAAGUACCCAUAGGGUAUGGGGAAGGGGACUAAAGUUGUUGCCCACGAGGGUACGGGCACGGGUACGAAUAUUUUUUAUAAAUGCGGGUAUGGGGACGGGCAUUGUAGUACCGUAUCCAUUGGGUACCCAUUGCCAUCCCUACUGCGAAAGCAUAAACUAAAAUAGAAAUCAAAUGAGUAAAAUGCCGAUGAAAUUUGCUUAAUUUGGUGGCUCAGAAUUUGUUUGUUGUGAUGAGCAUUAAUAGGAAAAUGAAUUUGACAUACAUUUCUUAAUAAAAGGGUCUUAAUUAAGUUUAGAGUUAAGUUGCCAUUUGUUGUGAUGUUUGUUGCCUUUUUUAUUAAUAGUGUUAAUACAAUUGGAUACAUCAAAAUAAGUAAUGAGACUAGCUGAAAAUGUGAUUUUUCUCAACCUGAUCGUUGGUAAAAAGAGACAGUUAGUAAAAAGAGUAGUAAAAAUGCAAGUUGUGAUGACAUGACUAAAUUCUGUAACAUCAAUUUGAGCCGUAUCGAAGACAUCCAUCAUUGUUUUGAAAUCAGUCACAAAAUUAACAUUGUCAAACUCUACGGUGCUAAUCCAUUGCAAGGCAUGAGAGACCCAAAACCUCUCCCACCGAGACAACCUCUCCCACCAAGACAGAGUACAAGGUGGACAAACUCAUCCAUUGUAGUAUCAACAAAAAUACAAAAUAGAUGUAUGUCCGUAUAGAUGAGUACUUCCAUCAUUUAAGUAUCUCACAUAUACCAAAUUUGUGAAGGGUAAUGUAUCCAGCACUUCAUUGCAAAAAGUGUGUCAUCGGUAAUAAGUCUUCUUCUGACCAAUGCUCUUCGCUCCUCAUUAAUCACCUCAGAAAGAAAGAGUUUGAUUUGAUUGGCUUUUGGUCUUUGUUAUUAUCGGAUGAAACUAUUUUGGCGAUGACAGAUUCCUGUACUUAAGGAUGAGGGUUAUGAAACUCUUAUAUAGAUGCAAUGUGGUGACAUUUAUUCAUUAAGAAUACUAUGGGAGGGUGAUUUAAUGUUCCUCACAAUAGUUUGCCUGCUAUAACUGCUCUAUGCAUUUUUACGUAGUAGGCGAUCUCGGCCACAGAAAAAUGAACUAACAAUUUCAUAUAAUUUCAAUUUUAACCAUUCAUUUUUGAUCGAACGGUCCUUAUCGGUUAAUGCGUUAACACAUAACUGCGUAGAAUCUAUUUCGUGAUGAACAAGGCCCUUUACUAUGUUUCACACUUUAUGUUGUUUUGAUUAAAAAACGAAAAACUAAAACCCUAAACCCUACUCAUUCUCUAUUUCAACUUCUUUCAUUUCGUUCCUUCACUCACCACUCACAUACACAUACCAUGGCGAACCAAAUCAUCACUCUUGUCAUUCCUAAAACCCUAACUCCCUUCUUCUCUCGCUCCCUCUCCGCCAUCUCCUUCCUUCGCGGUCUCCGUCCUCUCGCAGCCGCUGCCGUAACCUCCCGCCACAUUCUCCUCCCUUCCUUCCGCACACUCUCAACAAGCCCUACCACAUCUUCCCUCAACGAUCAAAACCCUAACUGCUAUAACCGUCCACCUAAGCAUACCGUCGUGCUUAAUGGAUGCAAUUUUGAACACUGGCUCGUGGUUAUGUGGAAGCCUGAUGGUGAUCCUAGCAGAGAUGAAAUUAUCGAUGGUUAUAUCAAAACAUUCGUGGAGGUUAUCGGAAAGUAAUAACCAUAAUAUAUUUUUAUACAUUUUCUAAUGAUUUAUUCUUUUUUGAAAACUCUUUUAAACUGUUAUUUUAACUUUUGAAAUAUGUGGGGGAUUGUUGUAAUUUUAGAGUUUUAUUUUAUUUUAAAAGUUAAUUAGAAAUAUGUUUUAUUUUACUAAACUAUUAUUUUGACCGCAUGUUGAUAUACUUAGUCAAAGUUGUAAAUGUGAGUUGGUGGUAUUGGUGCUUGAAAUUAGCCUUAUUUGUAGUUUUUCUCCCCCAAUGUUUACAAUUAUUUUUUGCUUUGACCAUGUGUUAAUUACUUCCUAAUUAUAAGGAACCACCAGUCUUCUCACAAUAAAAGAAACUCACGUCCUUCAUUUUUCAUAGUAGAAAAAACCAUACAUACUUGUUAUAGAGAACUCACAUCUACACAAAAAUUAAUUUCCUUUUUCUUAUAAAAUCAAGUUUAGGUUUUCUUGGUGCAUCUCCUGUGUAUAUAUUUGAGUUGUUCGGUUACCUCCCGUGUAUAUAGUCAAUGGGACACUGACACGCGUUCCAUUAGAAAUGUUGGUGCUAUUGAUUCUAAAUAAUGUCUGUGAAUGGAUGGUUGGUUGUGUUUGGGUUUAAUCUUUUAGUGUGUUUGAUUCUAAAUAUAUUCUGUUUCAACUAGACACUACUUUGCUUUUGGAGCUCUUUGUUCUGAAGAGCUUCGCGACAAACUCAAAGGUAUAUACAUGAUUCCAAAAAUAUUUCUUUAAAUUUUGUUUGCCUUUUGUAGUAUAUUAUACCAUAAAGGGUUUUAAUUUCCUGUUUUUCAAAUUUGCAGAACUUCCCAAAGUUCGGUGGGUUCUUCCUGAUUCUUAUUUGAAUGUGGAGGAGAAAGAUUAUGGAGGUAAUUUCUCUUGUACCAUCACCUAGCUUCUAAUUACAAUCAGUCAGUGUAAGUGGUGUGAAUAACUUCAACGCUGUACUGAGAAUAACAUGAUGUGAAUUCUUUCCAUAGCAUAUAAUAUUUCUUGUUGUAGAAGGUACAUAACAUGAUGCUUGGUGGACUUCUUUGAUUCCCUCUCACUAGUGAGCCCUUUAUAAAUGGGCAAGCAGUUCCAUAUGAUCCUAAGUAUCAUGAGGUGUGGGUUAGGAACAAUGCUCACCUUCAACGCUUACGCUACUCCAAAUUAAGGCGGAUACGUUCCUCCAAAUCAAGCUGGACACGCCUCUGCAAAUCAAGGCGGAUACGCUUCUCCAAAUGCAGGAUGGGCAAAUAAUCAGUAGACUCUCGUCCUGAUUGGAACACAUGCUGCAUGAAAUUAUGAUCCAGACAAAUUCUUUUGGCCAAUGUAGAUAAAAUAUUGAAUUACGUCCGAGACAUGCAGGAUUUAUAUUAUGUUUACCAAGUAAUGAGAUUUUAUUGUGAUCUUGUGUCUAGUUUCCCUUCUUCCUAAUGAAUUUGCGUUUCGGGUAUUGAAGUUCACAUUUGUGAAGUUCAUUGUUUUGAUGGUUUAUUCGAAAGUUAAGUGUCAUAGUUUAUUAAAACAGAAUUGUCUGAUAUACUUCAUUAAGUAUCAUAGUUUAUUAGUAAAAAAAUAUAUUUAUCUGAUACACUUCAGUUGAAUAGUCGUGAGAAAUUUAUAAUCAUCAUCUUUGUGAUUUGUCUUACGGAAUGUCUAACUGUCAACCAUGAUUAAUUCCAUUUUCUUAACUGAAAGUGUAAACAAAAUUUUCAAAAAAAAUGUGUACAGAUCAUGGUCGUUGAUUAAUAUGAAAGAGAUUCAAAGUUUGAUCCCGACAAUUAACACAGGUUCUUUUACACUAACAAGUUAACUACGACAAUUUCUCUAUAAAAAUACAUUAUUUAGGAGAAGAGUUCAAGAUACAUUUAUUAUAAAAUUGUUUAUGCAAUAAACAAUAUAUUAUAACUAAUACUAUGUUUGAUUGUUGAGAUAAUUAUGAUUGAAAUCAGAUGUUUUUUUUUAAUGAUCUAAUAAAUGUAUUUGAGCAGCAACGUUUUUUUUUUUUUUUUUUUUUUUUGAAUUGAAACAAGGGGCAGAAGUAACAGCUGCACUAACAGAAAACAUAGAACUACUUGGAACAGAACCUAUACAUAGUCUAUUGCCCACGACUUUUGCCAAAGAAGCCAAAUUGUGGGCAUCAGAGUUUUGAUUCCUGCUAACAAACAUGACACUAACAGUCAAUAAACUAGAUAUGAGUUCUCUACAGUCUUGAGCUAUAAGAUGAAUUGCUACAAACUUGGACCGCCUGUUUAUACAGUUGACAACGUUAUCGCAUCAGAGUGAGUGGAGACAGAAUUGAAGCCAUGUUCAAUCGCGAUUUGGAGAGCCCAUCUAACUCCCAAAGCUUCGGCCGUGAGUGGAUCCAUAUCAGAAUUUUCCCUUUUGCACAGGCUUAGGACAUUCUCCCCUGCUUGGUUACAAACCACCAUACCCCAUCCUGUUGGUCCGUCAUUACCACAUCCAGCAUCAACAAAAAUAGAGAACAAAGAUGAGUUUGGUUGAUCCGGUUGGGUAACUCCUGUCCUUCUAAAAGUUUUCCGGGGGUUAGCCUCAUUGAACUCAUGAACAUAAGACAUUGCAUCAGCUGCCAAAACAGAAGGAUUCAUCGAAAUCCCUUUGAAAACCGCAGCAUUCCUCCCUGUCCAGAAUUUCCGUAAAAGAGUACAAAAAAGCUAGGCACCUAAAGGAUCCUGACAUGUGAGCCACUCUAAAAUCCAGUCAUGUAAAUCAACCUGCCUUGGAACAUGGGACCCCAAAUGCGAUGCAAAAAGCGAAAGCUUGAACAGCUCACAAUUUAUGAACAAGUGGUUUGAGGAUUCUUCCUCCAUAUGACAGAGAGGGCAGAGGAGGUCAAGAUUAAUACCUUUCUUUUGGAGAUUUUUCCUUGUUGGUAGAAUGUCCUUUGUAAGACGCCACAUGAAAAUUUUGAUCUUGUUUGGGAUUGGUGCACGCCAUAUUUCUUUCCAAAGCUUACUUCUCUGUGGCCUAGAUGGACCCGAUUGCAUUCUUGACUUCUCGUCACAAAGGAGAUGAUAAGCUGAUCUAACUGAAUAUUCCCCAUCUUCUCACAGUUCCACACCAAAGAAUCUGAUGGCAGCCUAAAGGACAAUGAUUUUGUUCGCAACACUCCUCACAAAGGUCGAACAAAUUAAAUCCCUCUUCCACUGUUUAGUGUCUUCAUCAAUCAGCUCGGACACCAUGGCAUCUUCAUGUAUAAAGGUUCCUGGGCUGUUGUAUUCUAAGCGGUUCAAGUCUGAUAUCCACUUAUCUUUCCGAAUCCUGUGAGCAGCAACAUUGCUUUCACCAACAGUUUGAGUAUGUAUAUACUCCCUCCGUCUUAGAAUGCAAGAAAAAAAACUCACAUUUUUUGGUCUCAAAAUGUAAGUAAAAAAGACAAACUUAUUUUUUUGAAGAAAAAAAGACAAACUUUUAUCCUAUUAAUUUGUUUUUUUAUUUUUAAAAUCAUCUUUUCCAAGAAAAACUUUUGUUUAUUCUUGUUAAAUUAAAUAUAAAUUACAUUCAAUUUUCUCCGUAAUCAAUAGUCAAUGAAAAUUAUUUUUACAUGUUUCCAUGAAACUUAUUAUAAAAAAAAACACCAAGGACUAUACUCCAAAUUCUUAUGUUUUAGUUUUUUUAAUAAAUAUGAUUUGAUUUUUUUCUUACAACUUGGGAUGGAGGGAGUAUAUUAUAACAAUGAAAUUCAUGAGUUUGAUUUUUUACAGGAUUAAUUCUCAUACAUUGUCAAUGUAAAACAUUUUGUAUGACUCUUAAAUUAGAUAUAAUUAAAAUUAAAUAUUUAUUCAAUUAUCAAAAAAGUUUAAUUUAUUUUUCAAAUCAUAAAAAUACAAAAUAUAUAUCUCCUUUAUCCCAUUAUUAUCUAGUCUAGCUGGUUACACACUUACACCCAAAAUCUUUGCAAUCUUUCUCUCCUAAACCCUUCCUUCAUUGUUAUCUUCUCGAAGCAAUUUUGAGACAACCAAGGUCAGAAAAUUGUGUUUUGAUUCGGUUCUUUCCCUCAUUUCAAUUUAUGCCAUUGUUGUAUGCAUGUUCCUGCGUUUUCCAAUUUCCAAUUUAGAUUACAUUUCUUUUUUGAAAAAAAAGAAAUUCUGAUUACAUGUUUCUCUUUCUCUUCUACUACCAUCAAUUUAGAGUGGAAGGAGUUAACUUGGGUGUAACCAGAAUUACACGGGGGUGUAACAAGAAAAAUUCUAAUAUUUAUACAUGAAACUUUGAAUUUUGCAACACUUGCUUCAGUUUAGUCUCAAAACGCCAAAGAUGAUAAACAACGGAGUACACAGUCUCCGCACGUGCCUCCGCCUCCCGGAACAUCCAAUUUUCCGAGCAACUCCGCUCUCUUACAAUUUCCGGCGCCGGUUUUUCGUCACCGCAUCAUUAACGGAGAAGAAGAAAGAGAAGGUUAUAGUUAUUUCUGGACCCACCGGUUCCGGUAAGAGCCGUCUCGCAAUGGAACUUGCUAAAAGCAUCAAUGGUGAAAUCGUUAGUGCCGAUUCUGUUCAGGUAUCAAGUUACGAUAAAAAAUUCAAACAAAAAUGAAUACUCUUUAUUUUUUUUGCACUAUUUGAAGUGAUUUUCUUUUGAAUGUAUUAUUGCUAAUGUGGUUGUAGCGACAUUCUUAGAGUUUUAGUUUAGUUUUUUUUUUUUUUUUUUUUUUGGUGUUAAUCCUCUGGUUCUCAAGAGGAAGAGACUGUGGUAAUCCGAAGUUCAGGUAAAAAGUCCGACAAAUUUUUUUGUUUAACAUUAUUUUGUUAAGUGUUGUCAAAUAUGCUAUAACAUAGCAGAAUUUUAACAAAUUCACAGGGAAAAAAAAAACGGAAUUUGAACAAACAAUUAUUGUUCUACGAUAUGAGAUUUGAAUGUAAAGUGUUUUCAACAAUGUUGUCAAAUAGCUAUUAUAGCGUAGCAGAAUUUGAACAAACAGCUAUUUUCAACAAUACAGUAUUUAGUGUACAUAUUAUUGUCAAAUAGAGGCGCUAUAGCACUAUAGCAUAAUAUAAUCUGAACAUACCAUUAUUUUCUGCGAUUUGCGGUUGACAACAUUGGUUGUCAAAUAGCACCUAUAACACUGUAGUGUAGUGUACCGGAAUUUGAACAAACUUUUGUUUUUUCAUAUUUGCGAUUGAGAACAUUGUUCUAGAUACUGAAGUAUGUUUGUUUACAUGGUGAGGGAUUUUUUAUUUUAAUUAGAACCAUGGUAGUUAAAAUUCCAAUUUGAAUUGUAAAAUCCCAUGAUUUUGCGAUUAUGCUUGCCAUCAACCAUUAAGAGUAUACACAUAAUCCUAUUUUGGUGGAAUCGCUCAUGUUAAUUGUUGAAUCGUUUAAUUUACGAUCUUUGAAAUAUUUCUACGAUUAUGCUUAUGAAUGAAUUUAAAUUUAUAUACUUAUUUCAAGUGUGACUUAAGGUUUUAAUUACCUUACUUGUGAGCUAUGCUUGUGAAUUUUUAUUUGCACAAGUAUUUCAAGAGAUUUAAGGUUUUCUUUGUCUUACUAAUGCUAUUUUAUCGCAUCUAUCUAUCUAUAUAUAUAUAUAUAUAUAUAUAUUUGAGUUUUUGAAUUUUGUAUAAUCUUACGAUUAGUUUUACUAUUUUACUUCCCCUACCUGAUUUUAACUACCUUGAUUAGGAGGUUUAUUUAUUUUUAAGUGAGAAAUUGGUUAAGAACGAAAUGUGGUUGUUUAUUUUUUGUUGUUGUUGUGAAAUUAAAUUACUAUGUAUAUGGAAAUGAUAUUUCUCUUUGACUUGUUCAUUACAAUGUUACCUGAAAAAAAGUUAUACAUUACAAUGGAACUAGUUUUGAUUUUUUCUUAAUUCAAGAUGGCUUCCUUGGAUUUUAUUACAGGUAUACAAGGGUCUUGAUGUUGGAUCUGCAAAGCCUUCAUUAAAUGAUAGAAAGGUGUGUAUAGUUGUGCAAUGAUAUGUAUUUGCUAUUCAUUUAUCUCUGUUAGAAAUGUAUAGAUUUUGUUCCUUGCCAUUGUGACUUGGAUUGCCUGUCGUAACUUUUUCGAUUUGUUAUUUAGUCGUAACAUCGAAUUGGUUUUUGAAUUUUAGUUUGAAGUUCUUUCAAUUUUGUUUUGUUUUGCUUUCUGGUUAGGAAGUGCCGCAUCAUCUGGUUGACAUACUUCAUCCAUCUGAAGGUCUGUUUUCUUUGAUACUAAGCUAUAUUUGUUUAAGCAAGGAUUCAUAUACGAAUAUCCUCAUAUUCAUUUCUCUGCCGUCGUAUUUUCAUAGGUAUUUUAUUUUGUCCAAUUGAAAUUUGAAACUAAUUAUUAUUUAUCAGAUUAUUCUGUUGGGCAGUUUUUUGAGGAUGCAAGGAAAGCGACAAGAUCUAUUCUUGACAACGGCCGUGUUCCGAUUGUUGUUGGGGGCACUGGACUGUAUUUAAGAUGGUAUGCCUUUUUCAAUCACCUACUUUGUUAACUACAAAUACUAAGCCAUAUAGAGGCUUUGUCACGUAUUUGUAACAUGCUAAUAAGAGAGCAUAAAGAGUAAAUGGAAUCCACUUUUCUUAUUUCUGCAAGUUACUGAUGAAGCCAUUCAUUUCAUUAUCAAUCUCUCAUAUUUAUAUAGUUGCAUGAUUAUACAAUAGUAUAGUAUCAGGAAAAAAGUAAUGCAGACUUGGUUCUGGCUUCUGAGUUUUGCAUAACUUGCGUAAUUGAAGGAUGUGUAUAUACUUUGUAGGUAUACUAUGGUAAUUUACUAGUCUUAAUUAAUGUUCAGUUAAUUACACGAUCUGAAGCUAGAGGUCCAGUUGGUUUGUCUUCUGUACACUGUAAACAAACUUUAGUUAAAUGCUACUGUAUGAACAUCCACUGUUUUAGUGAAUUAUCACUCUUUUAUUUCACUUCAUUAUUGUGUUUCUUUUCUGUUGGUACUUAUAGACCAGUUUAUGUGGAGUAUAUACCUAUGAGUUCUGUUCUUUGAUCUUUAAAAUACAAGGUUCAUAUAUGGAAAGCCAGACGUGCCUAAAGCCUCCGCAGAGAUAACAUCUCAAGCUUGUAUGGAGUUAGCUGAAUUACAGAGAAAUGACGACUGGGAAGCUGCUGUGCAGUUGGUGGUAAAAGCAGGUGAUCCAAAGGUCCAACAUAUAGCAGUGAAUGAUUGGUACCGAUUACGGCGUAGUCUAGAGAUUAUUAAGGCAAGUUUGCAAUUUAUAAAGUUAUGCAUAAAUAUUAAAUACCUCUAAGUUCUUGGCUGGAUACUAACCUUUACCGAAAGAUUGGAUAAAACUCUCAAUGUUUACAUUUUAAUAUCCUUUCUUGCAUGUCUUUCUCUUUUUCAUUUGCAACACAUGGGUGCAAUUGUGUAAAUAUGAUAACACACUCAAUUACAUUGGCCAGGCAUUUAUUUACUCAAUGUGGUGCUCUUAUCUCUUUCAAACGUGCUUAUUUGUAACUGACUGCUUACUCCUUAGUGAAUUAUGUGUUUAUACCUGUAUUUUUCUGGUAUGUAUAUGUGGAAUGUAUGGUUUCUUUGACUAUGGAAUUUUCUGAAAUAUAUCAUCAAUUCACCAUAUAUUUAUAUCUUUUGAAAUGGCAGUCUAGUGGAUCACCUCCUUCUGCUUUUCGGGUACCAUAUGAUUCUUUCAGGGAACAGGGUGAUUAUAGAGUUGCUGAUGGUUCUGAUUCAUCUGAUAUGAACACUAAUUAUGAUGCAAUGAAAGAAACCAAUUCAGCAAAGUUAGACUAUGAUUUUAUGUGUUUUUUCCUUUCUAGCGACAGACUUGACCUCUACAAAUCAAUUGAUUAUCGGUGUGAAGAUAUGAUAUUAGGUAAUUAACUGGAAACACAAUUUUAUUCAGUAUACAUUUUAUACAAUAUUCUUCUGUACAUGUAUGUUUACUGUUAUAACAAUGCAUACGAUGCUUUUUGUCUACAUCUCGUGAAUAUCUAAUAGCAAUAAAUCUCUUGGUUCUCUUUGAUUGCAGGAGGGGAUGGCCUUUUGUCCGAGGCUCAAUGGCUUAUUGAUAUCGGUCUUCAUCCAAACUCCAACUCUCCUACAAAAGCAAUUGGUUACAGACAAGUAUAUUGUUUUUCACUGAUAUGUUUUAUAUUUACAUUUCGUUAUUACUAUCUGCAAAACUCAAAUAAGGAAAUAGAUUUGGUUGAAAGUAAAUACAGACAAGAACCAGACUUGCUUUAAGAAAUAUCAUUGGUUUAACAUUCUCCCAAUUCUUAGGUCCUGUUUAUUUAAGCUUUUGGAAAAUGUGAUUUUAAGAUUGUGUAAAACACUGAUAUGUAUCUUAGAUAUUUUAUGAAAUGCAGAAGCUAUUUACUUAUUUUUUCCAUUUAGUGGAAUUAUAAAACCACUUUAAUUUUAAAAAGUAAUUAUCAUAACCGUUAUUUUCAUAAGCUACUCUCAACAAUUACAAGUCUGAACAAAAGUGAUUUUUAUUUUUUUUUACAAAACAAAUAAGCCCAUGUUCAUGUAUAACUUUAAAUUAUGGUUGCAAUUCGGAUCAAUAUCGUAAUUCGGAUAAUAAUGUUAGCAAUCUAAUAUUGUUGUUAGCCUACAUGUUGUAUUUUUACAUAAUACCUAUAUGAUAAUUGCAUUUUUUAUAUAAAUAGUGAGAAUGGUUUGACUUACAUUUUUCUUGCGAUUCACCAAUUUCAGGCCAUGGAUUACUUAAUAGGAUGCAGAGAACAAGGGGGUCAGAGUUCAGCUGGAGAAUUUUACAGAUUCUUGUCUGAAUUUCAAAAAGCUUCAAGGUAAUUGUUUGUUUUACAUAAGAUAACGGUACCCUUGACGUUGGCUAAAUCAUGUACAACUUAAAGUAUGCUACGUGAGAAAAGAUAAUUAUGAUCCAUGAGCAUUAAAAAAAACACUAUCCUCGUAUUCUCACAACAUUUGUUGGGCAAGUUGAUUGGUUACGGAUAUAGAUAAAUAUCUAUACUUGCAUGUCAUAUUUUAAAUACUGUGUAUUCUGAACGAGCUAUUGCUUAAAAAAGCUUUUCAUGCUCAACCUUAAUAUGUUAAGUCAAGGAUGGCAGCUUGUGCUUCACUACCUUGCUUGUAGGACAUUGGUCUAGUUGUUCUGCUGCUUUCUCAACUCAGUUAAGUUGGAUUUUUACCAUUGUUGUAAUUAGAAAAUGCAUGCUGGGAUGUUAAACUUUUCUUUUUAAAGAAAAAGCUGGAGAGUCUGAAAUGUUAUCCUAACUAUGCACCAGGACGUUUUAUGCUUCUUAUGUUUUGCUGGCUGUGAACAGCAGGGGUGUGCAUGUGAACCAUAUCAUUAAAACCAAUCCAUUUAAAUGGUUCUAGUUUGCUAACCAAAACAUUUUUCUAAAGUGGUUACAAUCCGGUUCGAAACCGGUUCAACCCGGUUCGGAUUUAAAAAACCGGUUUACAAAUAGAUGGCUGCUAAAUCCUGUUUUUUGAACUCGUUUUAAAACUCGUUUUUAUUAAACUGGUACUACACCUAGUUUUUUAUUAAACUGAUAAAAAACCAACGUAAGCCAAACAUAGAAAUAAUGAGAGUUUAUUAAUUUGAUAAAAUUAAAAUGAAAAAACAAAGUAGAUGAAAUUUGGAAUCGAGAGAAACAGAGAUUCUAUCACACAAGUAAGAGGUGAAUACAGCAACGAUGGCCGUCUGCAUACAUAAACACAUCUCCACCAUGGCCAAUCAUAAUCCCUCUUCAUGCUUAUCUUCUUAUUAUUUGAUUUUGUGGGAAGAAUAUUAGUAAAUAAAUUCUGAGAAGGAGGAAUUUUGUGAGAUCUGAAAAAGGACAUUCAAGAUUCAAUUUUACAACUGACCGAUUUCAAUCUCGAUAGAACUUUGGAGUGUAAUAAUAGAUGUGGUGUGCUUGUUGAUGAGAGGUUGCUGCACAGAGUCUUUAACCAGUUCUAAUAAGUGGGUAUGGGUUUUACUAUUUUUUCUGAAAAUGGGCUGGUUUAGUUUUUUAACAAAUGGAUAUGGUUUUUUUGAAACAAUUCCAGUUUGGUUCUAAAUCAGUUAAAGUAAUCCAGUUUUUUUGCACACCCCUAGUGAACAGUGGUUCAGCUGAUUGGGUUAUUUGGCAAUGCUCUUACUUGAUUUGGUUUUUGCAGGAAUUUCGCGAAACGACAGUUGACUUGGUUUCGUAAUGAACGAAUAUACCACUGGCUUGAUGCUUCUAAACCUCUGGUAUAACGAUUGAAUCUUUUGCCACUAGUGUUGCUACAUCUUCAUAUAUGACUUCAUCUAAUUUCUUAUGUAUACUGGUACUACUAUAAUAAUGCGAAGAACUAUCGCUGUCUCACCCAAUUUUAGAAAUAAUAGUGAAAUGGCAGUAAAAUUAUAUCCCUAGAUACUAACAACUCUACCUGCCUUUUUACUUUUAAGAAUUUUUAGAACUAUUUUAAUGCAUUUUUGCUCAACUGCCACACUCGCAUUGUGGAUGUCAUCGUAUCUAUGAUUUUAACGAGCUUUAACAUACUUUAUGGAAGUCCUUUUAUGGAACCUAAGUCGUGGUUAUCUUGUGCAUGUAUUUGUAUAUGUCAAUGUGCAUGUAAUUGGAGGAAGAUGUUUGCUGUUCUGUUACUCAAUCCGUAAAUUUUUAAAGCUUAUGCUGAUUAUGAUGAUCAACUUAUUCCAGGAAACCGUUCUGAACUUUAUUCAUGAUGCAUACCACAAUCAGAAUGGAAAUCUUUUUGUGCCCGAACACCUUAGAAUGUCGAGAGAUAUUACUAAUCCUCGAAUAGCUGCUAAACUAAAGGCUUACCGCACCAGAAAUAGGUAUUUUGUUUUUAGUAUCUGGUAUAUAUUAAUGCAGUGUUGAUGCAAAUAUUAAUAAUUGUUUCUAUAUGAAGGCAUUUUGUGAACGGGGAAGAUUGUUAUCCUAUUUUGGAAUGGAUACAGAAGACUCAGAAGUGAAGGGAUGGAGAUUUUUCAUUUUAUAAUCGCUUGAAUUAGCUGCAUAUUUGAAAUUAUAGAGGAGUAUUGCAGGUUACAUAGGAAGUUUUGUUUUUGUUUCCUUGCUUGUUAGCAUCCUUUUCUCGACUUUUAUGUAGAAUAUUAUUGAUAGAAGAACAUUGUUGUACUGACAACUGAAUUUGUAAGUUAAAUUUAUUUUUUGAGCAAAAUUUGUAAGUUAAUUUGUUUUCCUCCUUUUACGCAAACCAGGAUCCUUGAUGUCAUCAUAAUGUUCAUAGAAUUCUAAAGCAUUUGUUGGACUCGAUUAAUAUUAAGAAUUGAUUUUUUAUAUUUAUCUUUAUAUCCUUUACCUUCCCACCAUGUCUGUAUAUUCUUGUUUCCUCUCUUUGGGUAGCAUAGACCCGCCCGCAUAUGAAAGUGAUGAAAUAUCAGAAGAAAAAAAAACAAUAUAAUUUGGUUUUAACUUCAUUUUUUCUUUCCUUGUCUUUCUCAAAGUUGUUAUUUUGUGUCUCUCGCCAGCAUAUUGCGCAAUCACUGUCCGGUUGCCUGCCAUCACUGCAUUUGGUGGCUCUUAGCUUAUCAAUAACUUAGAGUGGUUUUGGAGAUAAAGGUUAGGCAGAUAGAGUAAAGGGCACUGGAAUUAACUGAUUUCUUGAGAGUGGUUCUGGAGAAGUGGAAAUAAAGUAGAGAUAUGAAAUAGAGGGGGAGGCAUAGGAUUAAGGUUGAAAGAGACCCAGACAUUCAUUCUUAAACUUAAACAAAACACCACUGUAGAGGGUGAAAAGAAACAGGACGGGUCUUGCUUAUGAUCGGCCGCUGAUGAAGGGUCCGUUAGAGAUGGCAUUCGCUGGAGGGAGCACAUAAUCUCCCGGCAAAUGUGUGGUAGGGACGUCGUUGUUGCAAUGGCAAGACUGUGUAGCGCCACACUUGUGUUGGGGAAGUAGUUGCUUGCAGCAAAGGAGACUAGAAUGGUGAGCUGGUUUGCAUGAAGCAAAAGGCAUGUAGGUUUGCUGUGUGGUGGCGAUUCUGCACAACAGGAGCACACAUUUGCAAGGAAUGAAGGUUGAAGACUGUUGUUAGGGUGAUGAUUGUAUCUCGGCAGCUGUCUACGGAUGGGAGGUGGAGAUGCUGCUACUACGGUUGCAAAAGCGUGUGGAGGCGGCCAUGACCAACCUAUGGCAAGGCCAUACAUAUACUUGCUAUAGGUCCCCGUCCACCCACUCAAACUCAAUUCCCCCUUCAUAGCACUAACUUUAAGGUCUCACCUUUAUUUUAAGACCUAAUAUAUUACGCAUGUGAUGCCCUCUAAUUUGUUCACUCAAAAACCUCACCAAACCUGAUGCCUUACUUUAGCAAUUUAACACCAAUGCACUACUUACAUAACUCAAUCUUUGAAUUUAAAAUACAUUUUAACACUAAUACAUAGUUACAUAACUCCAUCUUUGAAAUAUUACAAAUUACUAAGGCCUUCAGCGAAAAGUUUAGGCCAUGAGUAAAUGUACAUUUUAGUCCUCUAAUGAUACAUGCUUGAUUAAUUUAUUCUCUUUUGAUCUGAAAACAACAUAUUGGUUAUUUAAUCAUAUAUAUAUAUAUAUAUAUAUAUGUUAUGUUCUUUUUGUUUUUUUUCCAGAAUAAUUCGAUCUUACUUAAAUAACUAAUAUAUGGAGAUCCAAAAUGCUUAUGUCAUGAUUUUAUAAUUUUUUUUUUUUUGAAGGAAUGAUUUUAUUAUAUUUUUUAAAAGCGCUGUCAAGUGCUACUUUCAUGUAUUUAUAAAUAGAACAUUAACUCCGGAGUUCAAACCCCGACCGCCACCGAAAAAUAGAACAUCAACUAGAAGAUACACAUCUUAAUCAGGAUUGAAUUAUAUGAUUAGUUUUAUCAAGAGACAAAUAUAUUUUGUUGUCCACAAUUUCAAAAUUUCAUGCCAAUAACCAUAUCUUUAAUUCCACCCAUCUUGAAUUGAAGACCAUAUUUAUUUUGAGACGACAUGAGUUGGAUUAAAGUAAAUAUUGAGAUAAAAUAGCCAAACCUUGUCAUUGAAGUAACUUCUUUUGUGUGCUCACAAGGUUUAUUUUACAUGAAAAAACAUACAAGAUAAAGAAAAAAAAAAUGUAAAGAUUAAUAAUAACUUCAACCAAUGUUUCCUCCACUCAGCCAACAAUACUGGUUAACACUAGUGAUGCUGAGAAUCUGGCCCAGCAGGUGCAACUCUCUCCAAUUGCCCACCAAGCAUUGACCUCUUGUGAAUAUACUCACUAUUAAUUCUUACAAUAUUUUUGAUCAUGUCACGUAAAAGUAGCUCACUACCAACCUUUUUAGUACUCAUCAUAGAUGAGAAUUUAGGCAAAGUUCUAGCCUCUGAACUCAUAAAUAAUGGAAGAACAAUAAUUAAAAAGAAAAUCAAUGCCCUAUACAUCUUUGUAGUAGCCAUAAGCUUACAAACUCAAGUGACAAUAAAAUUACAAAUUCCUAAAAUGCUAUAUGUUGUGUGUGUGUGUGUUUGUGAAGUAGCUUAGAAGAUAGCAAGAGUAACCUCUUUAUAUAUACAUUAAAGGUUGUCUAAUGAGAUAACUAAAUAAUUAAAAAAUAAAUACUUUUAUAUGUCUUAUCUCUCUUUUGGAUUCCUCUUCAUAUCUGUUGUGUAUAAUUUGUUUUGUAUAAGUGACAAAUGCAUAUUGUUUUAAGGGAAAUAUUAACGAGUGCUCUUAAUGCAUUCUUUAAGGACUUUAAAUAGUAAAUUUUUAUGGAAAAUUGUGCAUUUAAUGCAUCGGAAAUUGAAGUGUUAAACCUUUUCAAAUAAUAAUUUUUUAAUUGGAAAACCUUAAAUAACACUCGUUAACAAGACCCUUGUUUUAAUAUAAUUGGAUUAAGCUAGUUUUGGUUUGUUUUUGCUCUCAUUAAACAUGAAUAGAUGUUUAAACCGACCAAACCCAUUCAUAAAUUGUCCUUUCCACGAUAGACCUAAUAUUAGAUAGAGUAAAGAAAAAAGUAAAGACAUAUUAUCCUCUAGCCCACCUGAAAUUUGCAUCAAUUUACAUAGCAUGAUGAAAGUGUUUGGGUUCUAAUCACAUGACAACACCUAUUUCCAAAAAGAAAACAAAGAAGAAAAUCACAUGGUCAUGCUAUAAAUGGCUCCAACUAACAUGCUGUUUUUUCGGCUAUAUAUUCCCUACCGGAAUCCAACUGUCGUUCUUAUAGAAUUUGUUAGGGAAAACUACAUUUUAAGUUUGGAGAAUUUGUUAGGGAAAAUUAUAUUUAAGUUUGGAAAAUGCUUAAGAGUAUUCUCAAAGAAUAUAAUUUUUUUUUUAUUUGUAGUUGAUGACAUGUUAUCUUACGUUAUUUUUAAACAUGUUUUUCAUUCAUUUUAAGUUAGUUUUUCAUCCAGAAUAGAGGAGUAUUAUAACAAUUGUCUAUAAUUUCGGGAUAUUUUGUAAUGUUUUCUAUGUUGAGUCAUGUAACUCUACUUUUCCCGAAACAUAGCAAUUCUAGGGUGUUUAAAUGUAAUUCACGAAGAAAUCAUGUAAAUCGACAAAACAAAAUAUUUGAAGACAUGUGAAGACUUUGAGAAGACCAUGAAUGAAGAUUCAAGAGGCCUCAAAAAACAUUACAAAGGGAGGAAUUCUGUUCACAAGUCCUAAGACAUCUUAUACUAAAGCAAACACCAAAAAAGACGAAGAAACAGGCGUUACACGCAGAAAAAUACACUGGGGCGCCUCAAGCAUGACCCAUGCACCCCAAGCAUGAACCAUGCGACCAAAGUGUGAGAAAAAAACACACUUAGGAGCCUCAACUGUGAGCCAGGCGCCCCAAGCGUUGCAAAAAUACACUUGGGCGCCCAAGCCCCAAGUGUGGGAAGAGUGGGCCAUAACUUUUUUUCGCUACUUUUAUGUGGAAAAGCCCGGUUUUUAAGUCCAACAUCAGGUGGAACCUCUUCUCCUCUCAUUUAUAAUUUUUCAUUUAGAACAAACAGUUCAAGAGGAAGGCAAAAACUAGGAGCUUCAAGGGAAUAGUUACCAUUAGUAACUAAAUCUUUUUAGGCCAGGGUUCUAAGAUGAACCUCUAUUUUGUUUGUAGGAUAUUUUUUAUUUAAUUUUUUUAUUCAUUUAUUAUGGGAAUCCUAUUUAAUUUCACUAUUCGUAAGACUUUGCUUAUGUUGGUGAAUCGUCAUGAGAUAACGCUACUUAGGGAGGUGACAUACCUAAUAUUGACACAAGCUUGCCUGGAUCAUGAAGUAACUAAGAUAACAGAAACAAUAACUAGCGAAAUGUUAUAAACCGAGAUUUAAAUAAGCUUACUAACUUUAUUCUUCUAAAAUCUUUAGUAAGGUAGAUGAGACAAGGCUGUCUGUUUGUAGAACUACAACGAGGGAGAGCAUGUUGAUGAACUUCGAAGAUUCAAUAGACGAGGGUACCUUUAGGACAUAUAAAAUUUAUGAACCCUAAUACCCAUCAUUGUUUCAAAUAUCUCCGAGGAAGUAAGAACUUACACGUACCUUUACGUGCUGAAGUGUAUCUCCCUAUAUGACUGACAACCCUAAACAUUGAACCGUGUAGAAACUCUGGUGCAAACAAACUAAAUUGAAAAAAAAAAACUAUUAUCUUUUAUUUUAUCGUUUUUAUUUAUUUUCUUGUUCUCAAAUAAGUAACACAAAUUGCCUAAUUGAAACGAUAAUCCUCGUGGAUACGAUACUUUAUUUACACUUUAUUUCUUGGUAAACAAUUUGGUACACUUGCAUGAAUCCGACCAUCAAGUUUUUGACGUUGUUGCUGAGGAUGGAUGAUAUUUUCAACUACGCAAUUUAAAUUAUUUAUUCGUAAUUGUUUUUAUUUUCUUUAUUAUUUUUCUUUUAAUUAUUUUUCGUUUUUUAUUUAAAAAAAUGGUAUGAUAAUAAUAAUAAUAAUUAUUAUAACAAUAAUUAUUAUUAUUUACAUCAACUCCUAGAACAGUGCUACUUAGGUAAUUUUGCAACAAACCAGUGGCACCAAUCCAAUCAAUAUGCUUUGGGGUAUGAACAGAGCACACCAUUUCAUAUUGAAGAAGCUAUUCGAAAUAUGAUGGAAGAAACCAAAGAGUUAUAGGGAUGACUUCCAUGAAUUUGCGAGGGUAUUUGGAUGCUUAACUGAAGUUCAAGCAAACAUUAAAAAAAUUAGGAACAACCGUGAAACACAACAGGAAACCUGUCAAGUUGUGGUCCAGGAAGAACAGCUCGAGUUCGAAGAGGAAAAUACCCCAAAUAAAUCCUCUCCUGAGACUAUAAUGCAAGAUGUUGAGGAAUACGUUCUCACUGAAGUCGAGAAAGUAGAACAUUGUGGCCAACCGUUAGAAAUUGAUGGAUAAAAGUGCAAGUGUUGGUUCUAUCGAAGUAGUAAAAAUAGAGUAUCGUUCCAAUAGUAAAUUAUGAAUUCAAUUACUUUAAAUAAUGAUUAGAUGAGAGUUUGAUAUUAUAAAGUUUGGAUUUUUAAUUAAAAGAAAAUAAUAAUAAUAAAAGAGUCUUGUGUUAGACCAAAACCUUAAACCUAGAACCUUAUGUUAGACCUAAUUUCUAAAGACCGAUUUCUCUUUAGCCUCUCACUUUUCCUUUCGGUCCUAAUGAGAGUGUUCUUCUGGCAAUCAAACCUAUUUCGCUGAUUUUAUUACUAGAAGAAGCUUUAAAGUUUAAAACAUCAUAUGUCUUAAGGAUUGCAAAGACUAUUUCGCUGCCUUUGCAAUCUUUGUCUAAAUUCACUUGUUCGAAUAUCAAAACUCCACUUUCGUUUUAUGAAUUGAUAUUUGAGAUGAAGAAUUAACAAUUAUCAAACCCUCCACUUUCGCUUCUACAAUUUGAUAAUGGUUAAUUCAUGUUAAAACAAUGAAUUUAGAUUAGAAACUAGGGUUACAUAAGAUUAGGUUAAAGCUUGGUUUGAUUAUGAUUAUGUCAUUAGACUUAUCCGACAAUCCUAAGACAAGAAGAAUUUACUCAGUAACGUUCAUUGUAGAUAUAGAAGAGAAGAAGAAGAAGAACGUAAAAGUAAAUAACAAUAAAAUAAAGGUGAACUUUUAUUCCGAGAACAAAAGAUGAAUUGUUGUGAUAGCUAGCUACUCUAUUUAUAGUCUAUAACGACUUAAAACCUAAGCAAUACAUCACUAGAAUGUUCCACAAAAAACCAAGGGCUUUUAGGUCAGAACUAAACUAAUAGGUACAAAGGACUAAUAGCAGCAAAAAGACUAAAGUGCUUUUUAGGUAGAAAUAAACUAAUAGCAGCAAAAGGACUAAAGUGCGGCACGCCUCUUGUAUAUAUUUGUACAAGAUCUUCAAAUUCUUUGCACAAGAUAUUUUUGUAUGAGAUAUUUAUAUUCUUGUCCUCAAUCCUUGCACCAGAUAUUUUUCUAUAAGAUCUUUUAUAUUUUUGGCACGAAUCAGCUCCAAUUCUCCUUUCUUUUGCUCCAAGACUCAAUCUUUAGAAUAUUUGUUCUUGAAAUAUAAUAACUUGCAAUUGUAGUAAAAGAGUUCUAAAAAGGAAAUAAACUUAAUUAAAAUAAACUCAAAUAUAAAUAAAACGGACUUAAAUAUUAUAUUAAAAUAACUAAUUAUUGACUCAUCAGAAACCCAUCUUAAGAUGGAAGAGGCGCAAGGUGUACAACCAAAACUUCAAACCCAGUUCAAAGAGAAGCUGAAUGCCCCAAUGUUCAAGCCUCUUGUUGACGAAGAUUCCAUUUUGAGAAUGAGUAGAUGACAAAUCCUUGAAGAAAGUGAGAAUCCUCGCGAGAUCCCUUACUACGUAAAUUUAUCAUAUCCCCAUAAGUUGAAGAGAGAAGAAUCUACUACACUAACCGGGAACCGUAAUGCAAUAUUUCAAGGACGGCAACCUCAAAAUAAUAGUAAUGACCCAAGAAGUUUCAAUUCUAUUGGGAAGUUGUCCAUAGAGGAAGUUCGGUGUGGUCUUGGCGAAGGGAUUAAAUCUAUCUCAUCAUUGUGGAUAACGAAGAUCGAAGAAGUUCAGGUAAAACCAUUAAAUGUCACUCUAACACUCGCAAAUAUAUCAAUUUAAAAUCCAUUAGAAGUAGUGGAGGAUGCAAUGGUGGAAGAAGACAAGACCUUCGCAACACCAGACACAAAAGAAGGUUUAUUGGCAGAAAAAGUGAUUGUUCUAAAAGAACGAAGGACAUUAAUUUUGAAAUCUUAUUGAGGGGAGCAUGUGAACACUUAUAUCUCUAUGCCAAAUUCAUGGACAUCCUUCCAAACAACAGGAAAGAGAAGGAUGAUGUGUUCUUUCUUUCAUACAAGCCACCCUAAUAGGGUUGAGGCGUCGAGCUAACAAACGUUGAAAACAAGGGCUGCAUGGGAGGCAAUCCACAGGAUCAGUCAAGCUCGUGACGUAAAUACGUGCUGAAUGAGAGACAACCCAUUUUGUCAAGUUUUUAGACAAAAAAACAAGCGUUGAAUAGGAGGCAACCCAUAAAUUUAUUUUCUGCAAUAUCCCUUUUCAAUAAGUUAAGCUAAGAUUUCCUUUCUAAAACAAUUUCUUUCUUUUAUUGCUGUUAAUCUUCAUUAUUAUUUUUAAUUUUAUUUCUUUGCAUUACAUAUAUAACCUUUCCAUUUAUGCUUGAAUUGUUUUAGUCUUAGAAGGUUAUAUCAAAACAUUUACAACAAAGGGUAGCUUACCCCCAACGUUCAAGAGCACGAUAACUUUUGAGACUUGCUACUGAAGGUACUAAUUGAAAUCACCAUCUCUUUUAUGUAUAUUUAACCCUUUAUUUAUUUAUUUAUUUUAAUUUUAGAAUUGAAGAUGGAUGUAUAUUGAAUUAAAGUGAUGAAGAUGGAUGAACAUUGAGUUGAAAACAUGAAGAAUGCAAAUUAAAUUAAUUAAAAUAGGGUUGUUUAUGAUUUUCAUUCGCAAUACUUGAUAGAACUUUGAUUUCAGUCCAGUCCCUCAGGUUGAUGUUGGUAAAAAAAUAUUGUGAAAUUUGUUUUUGUCAUGUCAUUAAAAAAAUCUACGGGAUACGAUUCAUUUCACAUUAACACUUUUUAUGUGACUGGACUACUAAUGAACUAAAAUCAAAGGAAUUUAUGUUGUUAAGGACAUAAUCUAAUGUUGAAAGAAAAAUUCUAUCGUAUAGCAGUCAAACCACAAUGUUGUAUGGUACAGAGUGUUGGGUGGUUAAGAAUCAACACGAGAAUCAAGUAAACGUAUUAGAGUUAGGGAUGUUGUGUUGGAUAAAUGGUACUAGACAUAAUAGGAUUUUAAAUGACACCAUGUGAGGGAGGGAGGGGGAGGGAGAGGGAGAGGGAGAGGGAGAGGGAGAGAGAGAGAGUGAGAGUUAGAGUGUAGCACCUAUAAAAGGAAAUAUGAUAGAAAAUAUGCUUUGGUGGUUUGAAAAUGUAGAGAGAAAACUUGUAGAUGUUGUAGUACGAAGAGUGGAUAAGAUGGAGGAUAGUCAGAUUAAAAGAGGUAGUGGAAGAUCUAGAAAAAGAGGUUAACGAGUUUGAUUCAAAUAUAGUUUAUAACAAAACAUUAUGGCAUAAUUUGAUCCAUGUAGCCGACUCCACUUAGUGGGGAUAAGACUUAGUUGUUGUUGUAAACCAAAAUUAAAGUUAGCUUAAAUAUUAGGGACUAAAAUCAUAAGUAAUCCUUUUUUUAUUUAGAGAAGAUUUGCCAAUAUGCUACUUAAUGUAUUUAUAAAUAGAAUAUGAACCAGAUGACAUACAUCUUAAUUAGGAUUAAACUACGUUGUUAAUUAUGUGAGAAAAAAAUUAUUGUGUAUGAUUAGUUUUAUCAAGAGACAAACAAAGUUUGUUGCUCACAAUCUAACAUGGGAAUCAAAAUUUUAUGCUAAUCAUCGUAUUUAAGUUCAUCCCUUCUGAAUAUUGAAGACCUUAUUUAUAGUGAAACAUCAUGAGUUUGUACCCUUAAAAAAAUAUUAAAGCAAAUAUCGAGAUACAAUAGCCAAAACUUUGUCAUUGAAAUAAAGAUACAUAAAAUAUUAAAAAAGGUAAAAAAAUAAUUAGAUCCAUAAUCAUCAUACAUCCAAAUUGUAUCUUCUAUUUAUUUUGUCAAAUGGAGAGGAUCUUAACCCAAAAAUAUAUAGGAUAAAAAAAAAAUGUAAAGAUCAAUCACUUCAAUCAAAGUUUCCUCCAGUCAGCCAGCAAUACUGAUUAACAACACUAGUGAUGGUGAGCAUCUGGCCCAGAAGGUGCCACUCUCUCCAAUUGGUUACCAAGCAUUGACCUCUUGUGGAUAUGCUCACUAUUAUUUCUUGCAAUAGAUUUGAUCAUGUCACGUAAAAGUAGUUCACUACUAACCUUUUUAGGACUCAUAGAUGAGAAUUUUGGAAAAGUUCUACCCUCAGAACUCAUAACUAAUGGAAUAAUAAUUAAGAAAAGAAUCAAUGCUCUUGACAUCAUUGUAGUGGCCAUGAACUUAGAAAAUUACAAAUAACUAAAAUGCUCUAUGUUGUGUGUCUUUGUUGCUUAGAAUAGCAAGGAUAACCUCUUUAUAUAUAUACAGACAAGUGUUGUCUAAUGUCUUGUCUCUCUUUUGGUUUUGGAUUCCUCUUUCUAUCUAUUGUGUUUAAUUUGUUUUGUAUAAAUGACAAAUGCAUAUUGUUUUAAAUAAUUGGAUUAUAAGCUAGUUUUGGUUGGUUUUUGCUCUCAUUAAACAUGAAUUGAUACCGACCAAACCCAUUCAGAAAUUGUCCUUUCCACGAUAGACCUUGAAUUCAGAUAGAGUAAAGAAAAAAAGUAGCCCCAUCUGAAAUCUGCAUCAAUUUACAUAACAUGAUGAAAGUGUUUGGGUUCUAAUCACAUGACAGCAACUAUUUCCAAUCUUGUCAAGGAAAAAAAAAACUAUUUCCAAAAAGAAAACAAAGAAGAAAUUCACAUGGGCAUACUAUAAUUGGCUUCAACUAACGUGCAGUUUGUUCGGUUAUAUAUUCCUUACCGGAAUCCAAAUGUCGUUAUUAUAGAUUAUUUUAUUUAUUACAAAACAUGUUAACUCAUUCAAAUAAGUAGAGUACAUUAACACUGUUAAAAACGUAAAUGAUGAAUAUGCCAACAAACUCACUACAUCCAAGUUAAUAACAUAUAACUGCAAAACUCUUACAAAUAAUAAGAUAAAAUUAAAGAGAUAUGAAUACCAAUAUCUCUGAAUCUGCAACUGUGACGCUUAAAUCAUUGAUUGAAUUAUUGGUUUUCAAUAGGAAUCAAUAAAUACCACAACAAACAGAAAUUAAAAAAACGCAGUAUAAGACGACGAACAAUAGAGUAUCGUUCUUAUAUAAUUUGUUAGGGAGAAACUUUUUUGAUACAUUUUUUUUUCUCAUACAACUAAAUUUUAUUAAAAUAUUUUUUUGAAAGUACUUUCUGAAAAAAAUUAUUUUUUGUUUAGAAAUACACUUUUAAAAUGGAUUCAAAUUCAAGUCUUAGAAACACAGUAAUGUUAAAUUGUUUGAGGGAGAAUUUACUCAACCAUUUCAGUCUUACCUGAUUAAAGAGAUUAAUAUUUGCAGCUACAUUUAUGGAUAAUCUGUUAACAUAAAAAAAAAUACAUUUUCAAACAAAUUAGAUAUAUUAAUAAUUUAUACAUUUUCAAAACCAUGUGUCUUCUUAGGUUACCCCUCAAAUUAUAGAGGAUAUAAGUGUCUUGAAUUGUCUAGUCGUAAAAUAAUCAUUUCUAAACAUGUUAAUUUUGAUGAAACUGUCUUUCCAUUCUCUUCUUCACAUGCACCCACCUCCUCAUGCUAUGAAUUUUUGGAUACAAGCAAUGCUCAUUUUUCUUAUCACAUGUUACCUACCUCGACCACCCAUCAAUCAAUACAACCAAUUCCUACCCCUAACACACUACAAAUCAACACUACUCCACCACCCAUCCCCUCGGCCUCCACCUACCUCCCUCACCCCCAUCAUAUUCAACGCCAAACAAUACCAUAAACACAAAACAUCCACCAACCCCUAUCUCUAACACCACAUCCCCUCCUACUAUCCCCACAUCUACUUCGUCUCUAGCCAAUCCUUCAUUGUCUCCUCAAACGACCACCCGAGCUCAACAAGGCAUUUUCAAACCAUGACAACUUUUUAAUCUCCACACUUCUACUUCACCCAUCAUUUCUCCCUUGCCAACUAACCCUAUCAAUGCAUUACAAGAUCAUAACUGGAAAAUGGCUAUGAAAGACGAAUAUGAUGCUCUUAUUGAAAAUAAGACGUGGGAUUUAGUACCACGUCUAGCUAAUGCUAAUGUCAUUCGUAGUUUGUGGAUUUUCAGGCAUAAGAAAAAAAAUCAGAUGGUUCUUUUGAAAGAUACAAAGUUCGCCUAGUCGGGAAUGCUUCUAAUCAACAAGCUGGUGUCGAUUGUGGAGAAACUUUUAGUCCGGUGGUAAAACCAGCAACUAUACGAACAGUCCUCAAUAUCGCUAUUUCAAAAUCAUGGUGUUUACAUCAAAUGGAUGUCAAAAAUACAUUCUUACAUGGUAACAUUAAUGAAACUGUUUAUAUGCAUCAACCUCCCGGCUUUCGUGAUCCUCACCAUCCUGAUUAUGUCUGUCUACUAAAGAAGUAACUAUAUGGCCUUAAACAAGCCCCUCGUGCAUGGUACCAACGGUUCAUUGAAUUUGUUGCGACAUAUGGCUUCUUACAUAGUACAUGUGCCCAUUAUUUGUUCAUCUAUCACAAUGGAAAUGACAUAGCACUCUCACAUAGGCCCUAUCAGUUAUUUUCUGGGUAUCUCAGUUACUAGACAUUCAGGUGGUCUCUUUCUCUCUCAACAUAAAUAUGCCGAAGAAAUAAUUGAGAGAGCUUCCAUGUCAUCUUGCAAACCAAUCUCUACCCCCGUAGACACAAAAGCAAAACUCAGUGGCCUCUCAGGUAACCCCUAUCAUAAUCAAUCCGAAUAUCAGACUCUUGCAGGUGAAUUGCAAUAUUUAACUUUCACACGACCUGAUAUCGCAUAUGUCGUCCAAUAAGUGUGUCUAUUUAUGCAUGAUCCUCACACACAACAUAUGACUGCCUUGAAGCGAAUUAUUAGGUACAUUAAGGGUACCUUCCACCAUGGACUACACCUCUCUCCUUCCCUAGUUGAUACCCUCAUCUCUUAUACAAAUGCUGAUUGAAGAGGGUGCCUAGAUACACGAAGAUCUACAUCUGGAUAUUGUGUCUACCUUGGAAAUAAUUUGAUCUCUUGGUCUGCAAAACAACAAUCAACGUUGUCCUGCUUUAGUGCUGAAGCAGAGUAUCGUGGUGUUGCUAAUGUUGUUGUUGAAUCUUAUUAGCUUCGAAACUUAUUAUUAGAACUCCAGUGUCUGAUCAUCAAAGCCACUCUUGUCUACUGUGAUAACGUUAGUGUUGUUUACUUGUCGGGUAAUCCUAUCCAACAUCAACACACAAAACAUAUUGAAAUGGAUAUCCAUUUUGUGCGCGAAAAGGUUGCUAAAGGUCAAGUAUGUGUUCUACAUGUCUCAUCUCGCUAUCAAAUAGUUGAGAUUUUCACCAAGGGCCUUCCACUGCAAUUAUUUGAUGAUUUCAGAGAUAGUCUCAACAUCCGUCAACCUCCCGUUUCGACUACGGGGGAGUAUUAGAAUAUAAAAUAUUCAUUGUAUAGAUUAUUAAUAUAUUGUAUAUUAAUUAGUUAGAGAUAUUUGAGGCACAAGUUAGAUAUACUUGAUGCCAAAGAUACUUGAUGUCCAAGUUAAAAAUACUUGAAGCUUAAGACAACAUCAUUGUAUUAGUACACAUUAGAGCAUAAUGAAACAAUCAAGAGAAUGAAUUUUAUGAAGAUAUUUUAAAAAAUGGGAGUCCUAAUAGUUUGCCCUUUUUAGUGACAAUAAAUUCACUUUUAAUGUCUUUACCAAAUGAACUAAAUUUACUAGAAAAAUAGUUUGACCCUUUGUCUAAAGCGUUUAUUUCUCCAUGCUUGUCAGUAAAUUAUUACUAUUUUUUUUUUUAAGUGAGAGCAUCUAAGCAGGAAAAAAUUGUAAAAAAAUAAAUAAAUUAAAACUAAGCAGCACAAAUGAAUAGAAAUCAUCAUACAUUAAAAGAUGCACAAUUCUGUGAUUUUUUCAAAUGCUUACUUUUUUUUGACAAAAACAAAAUGAUAUUCAUUCAUUCAAAUUGAUAGAAUACAUCAGAAUCAAGAUCACUAAAAAUAUAAAUGAUGAAUCUAUGAACAAACUCACAACAUCCAAGUUAAUAGCAUACAACGGCAAAAUGCCUACAAAUAAUAUGAUAUAAUAAUCUAAAUCACCAGAAUACUCUUGCUUCUGGAUCUGCAACGUUGACGUCCAAAUCAUUGAUUGAAUCUGUGAUUGACUGAAGCUGAUCUUUCAAUAUGAACCAACGAACACCGCAACAAGAUGCCAAAUCAAACAACGGCGCACAAGACGACGAACAACACAAGGUCGCACUUAGACGACGAAAUCACAAAAAAACACAAAAUAAAACGCUUGAUAUUGGUGAAAAUCACUUAUUUAGAUCGAAAGAAAGGGGAAAAAGAUGCAGAGGGGUGAUUUUAGGUCAAAUAAUGACCUAAAACCACCCCUCCUCGAUGAGUGAAAGAAAAGAAAAAUUUAAAGAGAAGUUAGAGUUUCUCUCACUAAAAAAACUAAGGCCGACUUCAAAUGCUUACUUAUAAACUGAUUUUGAGACGGAUAAAAUAGUCUUCUUUAUUUAAGACAUCAAUGCAUGAUUUGAUGUAUAAAAGCAUAGUCCAUAAUUUAUUUAUCUUAUGUUACUUAUUAUUGGUUCGUGGCUAUUGAUGCCUUGAGUUUGAUAGUAAGAGGACAAUGGUAUGCGUCAGCUUUCAACAAAAACAAUCACAAUCAGUUACACGAUUAUUCCUUGUAUUAUUCCUGUUCUUGGAUCUUUUGACGUGUGAAUUAAAAAGAAAACUGACAUGUUCUUUGAUUCAGUUAUUAUUCUAUCCUUAUCCAUCUUGUUUAACUUCCAUCUUGUCGGGUAUUUCUUGCAUCAUGUUUAAUGAUAUUUUUCUCAACUUAGUUAAGUUGGUAAAUAAAGAAGAAAAUCACAUGGCCACGCCAGAAAUGACUCCAACUAACAUGUUCUUUGUUCGGCUAUGCCUUAAGGCUUUGUUUGGGAUUAAGAUGGAAGAGGGAAAUAUAGAAAAAAACAAGGAUUAAUGGUGCUUUAUCUCCUGUAAUAUAGGUUAUUUUUGGUUUUUUCCCUGUAAAAUAUUUUUUUUAUUUACCCCCUUCUAAUUUUUUUUUAAUAAAACAAGAAUUUAUGUAAUUUUUAGCGCAAAAAAAAAAAAUUCAUAUAUAAUUCAUGUUUUGUUAAACAAUUCAAAAAAAAAAAAAAUUGGAAGAAAUUCUUAUCAUAUUCUAAACAUUCUUAUCAAAUUUUGUUAAUAGGUCUUUACCCCCUUUAAUAUAGGUCAUUUCCGGUUUUCUCCCCUGUAAUUUUUUUUAAUUAACCCCCUGUAAAAAAUAAAUGUUUUGAUUUACCCCUUAAUAGUUCAAACAAAAACAAAUUUUAUUUUAUUUUAUUUUUCAAGAAAUUUUCGUUUUUGUUUGGCCUAUUAGGGGGUAAAUCAAAACAAUUUUUUUGACGGGGGCUAAAUAAAAAAAAAGAAUUUACAGGAGAAAAACCAGAAAUGACCUAUAUUACAGAAGAUAAAGAUCUAUUAACCCUUUUUAUUACCACAGACUAAAGAUUAGCCAUGAAUUUAAAGAAAUAGCAGAGGUGUGAGAUUGUGGUUAAGAGGAAUAUGAUAUUAUGAUUAAGAGUGACUCAAUUUCUGACUUUAUUAAGAAGGAAAAAUAUUUGGACUUAUUUUAUCGGUUUCAAUUUCCUAGUUUCGAAAUUUUUUGGUUUCAAUUUUUAGAGUUUCAUCUUCUUCUUUCAUCCAUGUCAUCUCUUUCAUAGUUUUCUAAUGAAGUUUCUAGUUUUUAAUUUGAUGAAGAUAAAAAAUUGAUAAAUAUUAAGAACAAUUGAACUUUUUUAUUGUAUUCAUCUAUCUGAACUUUUUUAUUGUGCUAAUGCGUUUAAUUUAUGAAUGAUAUUUUUUAUGAAAUUUUUAUUAAAAAUAUAGGCUUAAAUGUUUAUGAUUUUCAAAUGAAAUAUAAAUUCUUAUCUUUUUUAAUGAAAAACAAUAUAUAUAUAUAUAUAUAUAACAUUUUUAUAAACAAACUUAUUCAAGAGUCUUUUUGUAAUGGAUGAGAUUCAAACCCCUGACCUUGCAUAUAUUAUAUAUUGUCCUUACUGUAACGUCCUCUUUAAUUAUUUGAUUAUUUUAAUAAGUUUAUAAUAUACUUAUAUGAUUUGUAUGAUUUAUAUGAUUUAUUUUUUUUCGACAAUUAUAUGAUUUAUUUUGAAGAGUGGUACUUUGUUAUGUUAUAUAUUGGUAUUUAUUAGUAUAAUAUAUAUAUUAUUUGUUGUAGAAAUAUAUAUGAUUUGUUAUAGAAAUAUAUAUGAUUUGUUGUAGAAAUAUAUAUGAUUUGUUAUAGAAAUAUAUAUGAUUUGUUGUAGAAAUAUAUAUGAUUUGUUAUAGAAAUAUAUAUGAUUUGUUGUAGAAAUAUAUGUUAUUUAGUGUGGAAAUAUAUAUAUGUUAUAGAGAUAUAUUUGUUAUUUGUUAUAGAAAUUUUAUAUAUAUAUAUAUAUAUAUAUAUAUAUAUAUAUAUAUAUUAGAAUAGAAUAUUAAGAUUUGGAUAUAAGAGAAAAAUAAGUAAGUUAAGGAUUUUUAUAAAUAGGAGAGACCUAGUUUAGAAAAAACAUAACGUACGAUCAAUUUUGGAGAAAAAGCCAAGAGAAUGGAGAAGCACCUAGAGAGCUGCGAUUUUCAUUGUUAAGGUAAGGAUGAGACUAACUUUGCAAUUCUAUUAAGUCUGUGAAUCAACGGUUACAUUUAACAUGAAUUAGGAUGAGUUUUAGAGAAAUCAAAAAGUAGGUUAAAAUUGAGGAAAUAAUGAUUAAACGGUGGAAGCUUGUUAGAUUGAUGUAGAAAUUGUUCCUAGACCUUAGAUAAUGAUUAUGAUGAAUUAUGAAAUCAAGGUUAGGCUUAAAACCAUGAGAAUUAGUGAUUUUUGUGAAAAACUGCACUUCUGCCCGUAGCGACAUUCAUCGCUCGCCUCCCGAGCUAUGAUCCUCGCCACGGCGAAUGAUGAACUUCAUCACUCGCCGCGCGAGCAACCUUACCCGCCUCGCGAGUUGCACGACGCAGCUCGCCAUAGCAAGCAGAUGAACUCGCCAUAGCGAGCAUGACCAGAGAGCUAUCCAAAUUUCGUGAUUUUGACUUUUGAGUUGAUCCUUAGAUGCUUUUGAGUGCCUGAACAUGUUUAAUAAUGAUUAGGAGAGAAUGUAGGAUGAGAUUGAACAUGGAAAGAUUGUAGAAUGAAACUUGUGGGAUUCUGACCUGAACUCGCCACGGCGAGCAGAGGCUCUCGCCUCGCGAGUGACCCAGAAACAGAGUGACUUGUUAGAUUUUGCGACCUUUGUUGCACGAGUUGUCGAGAGAUGAACCUUGGGGUAGCAUUAAGACUUGAAUAUGAUAUUAAUUACAAUUUGUGAAGCUGUUAUGGGAUGUUAAUGUUGAUUUAUGAUGUGAUAUUAUGUAUACGCAUUACUUGAAGUUUAAAUGAAUAAUUGAGAUGAUUGUUGGCUUGCAUUGAUAUUGUUAUGUCAUGCUAUUUUUGAAUGCUGCCUAUGUUGCUGUUUGAUGUUUAACCAAGCUGCAUGAGUCGGUCUAAGAUAAAUGAUGAUGUUCCAAUUUAUUGGAUUUGUAUUAAGAAGUCGAUGUUCUAAAAUGUUAAGGAGUUGAGUCCAUUGCAUACGCAUAAUACGAGAUGGUAGAGAGCUUGAUGCUCUGUAAUGUAUAUUUAUACAUAAAAAACGAUGGUAGAGGGAUUGAUGCUCUGAGAGCCUAUUUACGCUCAAUACGAUGGGGGCUUGAUGUCCUAAAUGGUACCACAUGCAUACAAGAGGUCUAAGUUGAAUAGUCAAGUUGGAGUCGCAUUUGUCGAGUCAAAGAUGCUUAAGUUACCAAGUUGUUGAAGCUGUGAUUCUUUAUAUGAACUAUUAAAGAUGUGAUAUAUGAUAUAUUAAUGUCUAUGAUGAAUAUUAUGAUGAUUUUAGGUUGUUAAAUAUAAUUGUUGAGUUAUAUGCUUAAUAUUAUUGUUUUGUGAAAUCUCACCCCUUCUGCUUGGAAAUGUUGCUCUUCGUAUGAGUAACUUGCAGGUAACCAAGAAUAGUUGAUGUCGUGUGAGCUUUCUCUCUCGUGUGUCUUAGGUGCUCUGAUACGUAACGGGAUGAGAACUUUGUUAUUGCUUUUCUAUUCCUUACGUAUUGUUUUUGAAGAUUUAUGACUAUGUUUUAGAUUGGAUUUUUAUGAGACAUUUAUGAAGAGACCUUCGUGCCAAAGACUGUUUUAGUUAUUGAAUAAACUCCGCUGCGAAGUAUUAAAGAUUUUGUUAUUGAAUUUUAAAGGAUAAAUAGUUAUUUAUUCAGUUUAUGAUUUUAAGAAAAGAAUGUGACAUUCCGUUUAUAUGAAUACUUUGAUUAUUUUUAUGAAAUUUUUAUGUUGGAAAAACGGGAUGUUACACUUACCAACUGAACUAAGUUCAUGAAGAUUAUUAGUGAAAGAUCCACCACAAAAUCAUGUUAUCCGUUUUAUAUAUAGGUAUAAAAUAGAUAAUAAAAUGUAAUUUUUUGAUUUGGAUUUGCCACUUCAACUUCAAAAUGGUCACCUAAGCACUCUUUAACAACGUUAAAAAGAAAAAGUCACACAGAUACUCUUCAAUAAAAGUAUAACAGAUAGAGACUAAGUUGUGCUCAAUAUGAAAACGUCAAGUGGCUAUUUAAAUUUAUUUUUAGACACCAGUUGUGUACCAUUGAAAUAUCAAUGUUAUAUAAUAUUAGUCAAUGAAGACGUGUUACAUAGCACUUCACAUGCAUAUUUUAUCUCUUUUCUCUUUACACAUUCUUAUGUGUCACAUCUUCAUUGGUCAAUGUUAUAUAAUAUUGAUAUUUCAAUGGUACACAAAUGGUUUCUUUAUUUUUACCGGGGAUUAUAUGGCUCUCACGAAAAUUGUGAAGGAUAAAAAUGACUCUUUACUCUAUUUUUUUUAAUAGAACAAGUUUAUUUUUACCAAUUUAAUGAAUUAUCAGUAUUAUAUAUAAAGAGAUAUAUAAUUUUAAGGCGAUAAUUAAGCACAAUAAAAUUCGAAGUUUAAACUUUGACCUCUAUACAUAACAAUCCAUGUUUCUUACCAACUAAGUAAUAUUCGUAGGGAUUCAUUACCAUUAUCAUUCUAUAAUAAGGUAUAGUACUCCGAGCAACGUUCAUUUGGAACACUCUUUAUAGGAGUUUUAUUCCUUCAAUAAAUCUUACAUAAAAGUGCCAUUCACGUGGUCAUCAUUAUAACAGAAAGUUUUGUUAUAACCGACCCACAACCGUGCCACUUAUCCUUUUACAAAAUAAUCUGAACUCUUAAAAUUAAUAGUAGCUCACAUUGUCAUCAAUAAAUCAAGACUUUAAAAUAUGAAUUGAGAAAUAAAAAACACAAAAGAAGCAAUAGUAAAACAGCACUUUUUUGUUUUUCAAAAGUAAAAUAGCACAUUAAUUAAAAAUAUAAAAACAUAUUUAGUACUGAACCCUAAAUAUUUUUAAGUAUUUAGGUACGUAGUGUCGACUAUUAGUUAAAUAUUUCUUAAUUUUAAACAACCAUUAACUAUAAAGUUUAAAGCACCCAUAUUAGUAACUGAUCAUCAAUAUUAUCCUUGCCUAAACUUAUCAACCUCCCAUAUAGUUUGUUAUUCUAAAAGGUUGUGGCACAUCAAAGAUGAAUAUCAAAAUAAACAAGGAUAAGGAAUUAAGGAUUAAGAAAAAGUUUGCCUUUCUCAAUGUGAUAUACUAUACUAGUUUUCUAUAGCCCAAUUAACCCCCCAUCUAAAAAGAAUGAAUAUAAAAACAUGUUGACCUUCGAAAGAAUUAAUGAUGACUUUUACAAGUUGGCUAGAAAUAUGAUCCGGAUCACCAAUUAUAUAGGAGAUCAAUGUAAAAGGACAAUUAAUUUACUAAAUAAACAACUUCAACCCUAUUCUUUAUCUCCCAAGGUUUAGUUGAUAAGAAAAUCAUAAGCCUCUAAUACCCCACGAAGCACUCACAAAAUCAAAUGUAUAAAAGAAAGUUAGAUGCUAACAUGACCAUAAGAAUAUUAAUUCACUAAAAGAAAAUUGGCUUUUAGUGUCAAUCAAAUUCGUUGGUGAAAGUCAAAAUAAAGUGAGCAUAGACAAAAAUAAAUGUUGACAACAACUUAUGUCACGAUCAAUAUAAUAUAGGUUUUUUGGGUCAUGCUAACUAGUAUCCCAAAACACUAGUUAAAGAAAUUAACAAAAAAAAAAGAAGUAAGUUAUACUCUUUUUAAUACAACAUUUUCCUACAUUAAAAACAACAUUUUCUACCCUUUUUAAUACUUGAUUAUACAAGUUUAGAAAAUUAAAUACAACUAUAUAUAAAGAGAAAUGUUAGGAAUAUGCUCCUUUAAACCAAAGAUUUUCACCAACAAAGAAGUGUAUGCAUGCAUAUGCGAGUGGUCCAGAUGUUGAAGAAGGCGGAGGACUUGUAGAGAAUCUAUCUUGUAAAUAACAUGUUGAAUAGAGUUUCUUACUACCAACACCAAACCAUGAUAAAUACCAAAGAGCUCAGCAAAAUGUGCAUAAUCCUGCCCCUAAUUAGAAGAGAAACCAGCUAUUCAAUCGCCCUUGUUGUCACGAAGUAAACCGCCAUAACCAAUGUCCCUAAGGCACCACAACUUCCAUCAAUAUUCAACUUAACACUUCCAUCUUGAGGCGGGGUUCACUUAACAAUGUUACGAUUAAUGUGGUGCUCAGAGGAGUGAAUAUUAACAGAAGUUAGGUCAGUACACAUGAUGUUUAUAAAAUGAAUGACAUUUCGGGUUUUCCAUUGCUUGUCACCAUGCAUGUGGUUAUUUCUGAAGCGCAAUAUCCACCAAUUAGUUAUUGCAAACAUGUUACCAAAAGGUCCUUUACAUAUAGUUUGUAAUCAUUUUUUCAUGUUUGUGAAGCUAAAGAAAUAUGUAUGAUUAACACUAGAAAUUUGCUGCCAAACUUUAUUUGAUGGAGCACAAUCUCUAAGGCAAUGAAGCACAUCUUCAUUGUGGGUUCCACAUCUUUGGCAGAUAGGAGAAGUUACCAAGUGGCAGUGAUGUCGAAGCUUGUUAGUUGGGAUCACAUUGUGCAUGCAAAGCCAAAGGAAAUGUUGCACCUUAGCUGGUAUUGACAAUUUUCAAAUCUAAUCCCAACUUUCAUUAUCAUUCCACUCUUUACAACGAGAUAAAAGCCAACUAUAUGUUGUAGAGCAAGAAUACCUUCCUGUUUGAGCAGCUUCCCAAAUCCAUAUAUCCUAUUAUCAUCAAAGGCCAAAGGAGGGGGGGACCGAUCAACUAUCGUUUUAAGACCGUUCGGAACCAUUGAUCCAAUCCCAUGAUCCAAUAAAACUAACAUUCUUAAGUUGAAGUUGAGUAUCCGAAAUGUUGACAAAAUCAACCAAGGGACAAAGUGUUCCUAGCCCCAUCCAGUUAUCAUACCAGAAUGAGGAGGAUCCGUCACUGAUGCGGAAUUGAAAGCCUUGUCUCAAAGCUUCCAAUGCCUUUAAAACACUUCUCCAAAUUUGAGAAAUGUUUCAUUUAGCUUUGAUGUUCCAAAUGUCGCCACCUUUAAUGUACUUGUGAGAUAAAAUCCUCACCCAUAAUUUAUGAGGAUCAUAAAGAAGAUUCCAAACUAACUUACCUAGAAAAGCAAUAUUAGAUAGUCUAGCUUCCCUAAUAGCAAGACCUCCAAAUUUCUUAGGGGAAGUAACCAUAGACAAUUAACUCUAUUCCACUUCCUAUUAUGACCCGUGUCAUUCCAAAUGAAGCUCUUGGUGAUUCUAUCAAUCUUAUCACAUAUAUUUGUAGGUAAAUAAUGAAACUGCAUAGUAUAAAUAAGUAUUGCUGUCGUAACCAAUUUGGUUGGGAAAACUCUCCCCGCUUUAUUAAGGAGAUUGCAUUUCCAAGUCGAGAGCCUUUUGUACAUUUUCUCUAAAAUAUAACCAUAUGUAUUUGUAGUAGCUCGACCUUGUAUCAAAGGAAAUCCCAAGUAGUGCCCCAAAUUGGCCACGAAGCGAAUAGAAGAGAUUUCUUUAAUACUUUGUUUAACACUCUCAUGCACUCUCUUAGAACACAUAGCCUUAGACUUUAGGAAAUUCACUUUCAUACUAGAAGCAAUACAAAACUCAUCUAAAGUGUCCAUCACUACUUUAGCUUGAUAUGGAGUGGCCUCACAAAAGAGAAUAACAUCAUUAGCAAAAAGAAGGUGAGACAAACCCGGACCUCUAUGAGAUAAAUGUAUUGGAUGCCAUAUCCCUUGUUGGACCUUGCUUUGAAUGCUCAACCCUAAUUUCUCCAUGCACAAAACAAAUAGAUAUGGAGAGAGAGGAUAUCCUCUAAAACAAAUAUGCCUAUACGAAUGUUACAUUGUUGGUGUCGUUUAAAAAGAUAAAAGUUUAUUUUAUAUUAUUUGUGUUAAUAAAAAUAAAAGAUAAGUAUAAUUUGUUACAAUAUGAAAGUGAAAAAUAUAUAAUUUUAAACAAAAUCAAAAUAAUUUGAAUCAAAAUUAAAAUUUCAUAAAAACUAUUUUUUGUAAUUUAUAUGUAUUAGUCCAAUAAAAAAAAUAGCGAAUAAACGGGGCACACGUCUGAACUCUAGUAUGUUGUGUGUGUGUGUUUUUAUAUAUAAUAUUAAUCAUAUAUUAAGUGUAAUAUUUUGAGUUAUUUUUAUAAUGCCUAUAGAAUACUAUACUACUUCAUCGGGUCACUGUUAUAGGAAGUAGAAAAAAACACUUUUUAGAUUUAUUGAAUAAUUGAUGUAUCUGAUUUACUAUGGUCCUAUUUAUAAGAAAUAUUUGACUUUUUUGAUUCAUUGCAUAAAUGAUGUAUUUAGUCUAUAUUCUAGACAAGAUACAUCAAUUACUUAAUGAAUCUAAAAAGUCAAAUUUUUCUUAUAAAUCCAGAUACAUCAAUCAUUCAAUUAACUUAAAAUAUAAAUUAUUAUUAAUAAAGGUGAUACUAAUGAUGUGAUAAAUGCGAGUUAGAUCUUCCACAAUACUUUAGAAAAGUGAAAAUUGAGAAAGAUACAAGUGAGUGAACCAUACAUUCAAAUUCAAUGAAUUAAGGUUUUGGAUUAAAAUGUGAAAUCCAACUCACGGUUAGUUUGUUGCUCUUUGCCCAAUAUGGUUGAUCCCUUAAACUCCCCUCAUGAUCCAACAACUAAGGAUCAUUUUGCAACUAUAUUGAGUGAGAUUUAAAAUAUGUGUCCGUUCAAAUUACAAUCUUACCACUAAGUUGACAAUCUAGUACUUACUAAUUAUUUUCAAGAACAAAUUUAUAUUUAUGAACAUGAGUGAAAUAAAGGCAUAUGAAAAUUAAGAAAGUCAGUAAUCAUUUCAGAGUUUGGGCAUGCGGGAGAAGCCUCAUUGCCUUAAAUGGCUAAGAGAACUGCACUGCAGUGAAAUUUUCUUUAAGUGGAGUAGCACUUAUGGGAUCCAGAUAAAUGUUAAUUAACAAAAGAUGCUUUCCCACAUGCAAUGUCCAAGGCAGUUUUGUAGUUUGUUGUAAUGGGAGCUAAACGUUUAAUUUAUACAUUACAAAUUUAAAAUGUUAGAGAUAAACUAGUUAUAUAUACGUCCCUUCCAAAGAAUAGUUGAGUUUUCUUUUUAUAUAAAAAAAGAAGAGAAUAGUUAUGUGGUUUGCUUUAAUAGAAUACGAGAACGCGUCUCGUGAACUUAACUCAGUUGGUAUGAACAAUGCACAAUAUAUGUAUGGUCCGGAGUUCAAACUCUGAUCACCAUAAAAAAAAAAAUACGAAAACGCAAUGUAUAUGAUCCAUUUGUCUCUAAUUUGGUAUCUUUAAUUAUUUUUUCCCCAAAACUUUGGCUCUUAUAAGAAAACAAACUAUAAUUGUCCUCUUCUUAACUCAGUUGAUAAGAACAAUGCAUAAUAUAUGCAAGGUCCAGGGUUCAAACUCCGACAAAAAAAAUCAAACUAUAAUUCACCACCAAAAAUAAACCAAACUAUAAUUGUAAUAUUUCUUUUUUUUUCUUUUGCACUCUUACAAAAACAUAUAUUUAUUAAAGUUUAUUCUAUUGAAUGAAUUAACGGUAAAUGAAUUCAUACUUGUAUAAAUUUAUUGUUUCUUAAUACAUUAUAUGCACAAAUAUUUAAGAAUAAAAAUAAGAAACAAGGGAGCAGUACGCAGAUUUUUGUUGACAAAAUCUCCAUCAAGUCAUUUCAUUAACUAUCAAUUUUUCAAUACAUGUUCGUUCAAAAAACAAGGUCAAUACAUGUUGACACUUCGAUAAAAAUAUAGAAAUUAGUUCUUCUUACAAACUCAACAUGAAAGUUUCUAAAAUGAUUAGAGAAUAUAUGUCUAGUCUUAUGAAUUAUUGCACCAAAAUCUCUAAAGCAUUAUCUUUAUUAAGACGAAAACUAUUCACCACCCGUUUUGAGUCUAACUCGAAAUUCACUUUUUUUUUUUCAUUGUAGAUCAUGACCCAUCACAAAGCUCACAGAAAUAUAUUACCUUUAGGUUCGCCUAAGGGAGAACCACUCUGUUUUGGCGAGUACAAAAUUGACAAACUCAUCUUAGUACACUUCUCCAAACCGACUCUAUUGCGUUGAUGAGAAAACGAGACAUCCACAUUGCAUUUAUACCGAUACAAGUAGAAAAGAUAGAAAUGGUAUAUAUAAAUUAGCACUCUUUUGGUUUGGUGCAUAUUUAGAUGGGCAAUUUGGUGUAAGGUUGGCCUUUUUGUAGCUAUAUGCAGUGGACUCAUCAGAAAGGUUUGUUGAAUAUGUCAUAUUCGAAAGUGAUUCCAUUAUUCCAAGUUUAGGGUUUGAUGAUACGCAUAGUACAACCAGUGAUGCAUGAUGCAUCAUAAAAGUUCCAUGCUUGGGAAUUCAAACCUUGUGAUAAAAUUCAUUAGGCAAUUUUUAUUAAUGCAACUUUUAUUAAUGAAUUUAGUUUAGUUUGUUUUUGUAAAAUAUAUAGAAUAUAUAAUGGACAAAGCAACCGAAAGAGAAAAGCAACACUAAUUAAGGAAUUUCUAUAAAUAGUUAUAAUUCAUUACCCACUUUACCCCCACUAGCUAAUCAAAUAUUAUUGGAUAAUAAACACCCAUACUUUUUUUACAGUAAUAAACUCGUACUUCUUUCUCUACGUACAUGAAAAUAAGUGGUGUAUAAUGUAUUGAUAGCUUUACUUUUUCAUUUGCCUCAAAAAAGAAACUGUACUUUUCCUUAUCUUGACUAACCGCCCGGCCACACACAUGAAAAUUUGAAAAUAGGAUCACUCAAAAUGCCAUUGUUGUGGUUCAUCUAAUAUAUAAUAUCACCACUUGCAUUAAAAUGGUACAUGCAUCAAUAACAAAAAUCAAAUCGGAUUUUUGUUAGGUAUUAUUGAUCCUAAUCUUAUUACAAAGGAAUGACCAACUAUCUAAACAUAGGGAGCAUAAUCUAUAAAUUUCAAUGAUCAAUAUGAAUUUAGAUCGUCUGUAGUCAAAAUAUCGUACAAUAAUUUCAUUUUGAGAUCCCAACGGUUGAAUUAAGAUUAGAUAUGUCAUAUUUCGAUUUCAUCAAACCAAUAUUUCAAAUGUUUUGAUUCGUAAUAAUAACAGUCUAAUCUUAAUUCAUUGGUCGAGAUGUGUUGUCUGUAAGGUAUUUUGACCACAUCUAAUCGAGAGUGGAAGAUUAGUGAUGGUGAGGAUCUGGUCCACUUGGACUAAGUCGAUUGGUCGAAUAUUGUGUUCCCAACAAUUGCUUCCUUCUCAUGAUUUCCUUCACCACUUGCUUGACACUUUCUACAAAUGCAGGGCUUCCAUUGCUACUUGAGAGAGAGGAAGGAAGAGGACGAGCAUCAUGGCAGAUCAAAAUUGAUGUGAAGAGAAGCACAAAGCAUAACAUUCUCCAACUUGCCAUAGGAAUUAUUUGCUUUCAAGUUAUAUAGCAAAAACAGCCAAAAUGGUGGGGAGACUCCACAUGGUUGAUGGUUCAAUAUUUAUAGAGGCACAAAAAAUUGUCCUCAUGCUUCAAUUGACACGUGUAUGAAAUAAUGUUUAGGUCAAAUAUUAUUCAUUGUGAUUGGAAGAAAUUGCGCUCUAUGUCAUGAAAUUGGUUUUCUUAAUUAAACAUUGCAAGUUGCAAAGUCAAUCACUCAUGAGUGCUUAGUUUUUUUUAAUAUUCAUUGUCCUAAGUCUUAAAAAUAAAAUUCUUAUCCGCAAGUAAAAAAAAAAUGAUCCUAAUAAAAAUUAUUGUAGAUUGGUUCAGCUGGUAAUGAUUCACCUCAAAUCGUUUAAAAACUUUAAUUCUAAUCAUAUUGUCGAUAAAGACUGUAUUAAUAUGUACACAACCUCGUCACUAUUAUAAGCAAAAAUUUACAUUUUAGAUUAAUUUUAUUUAAUGAUGUAUAUUAUCUUUAUUAUAGAACACAUACAUCAUUUAAUAAAUAAAUUUAAAAUAUUAUUUUUUAUUUAUAAUAGUAAUUGGAGGACGUAAUAUUUGAGUAUCACAUCCAACAAUCUCGAAUCUUGAUGUUACAAAACCAAACUUAUCCGUUUUAUAUAAAUAAAUAAAACAAGAAAAUUGUCAUCUUUAUGGAUAUCCAUUGGUCAAGUUUUGCUGCAGCCAUUGUUUGACUUAAAGAGUAAGUCUCACCGGCCAUUCAUUUUAUCCGAUAAUUAAGAGAUCCCUUGACUGUGAAGGAAAAAAAAAAAUCUUGGUAAUUAUAAGGGACAUGGUUGCUUUAGAGAACAAAAGGGUGGGUUGAGUAAUGAUUAGAAAAAUAAAUAACAAUUGAGAUUGUGAUAAAAUGGAUAAGAGUAUCAAAUUUGUUUAUUAUACAUAGAUUAAGAAAAGAAACAAACUAACAAUUUCAAUCGAAUAAUAAUUAUCAAAUAUUCCGUCCGGUCUUUAUUAUAAGAAGAAAGAAGAAAAAACAUCAAAAUCAAGAUAAUUAUUAAUGUUGUAACUUUUUUAAUGUUUUUAUAAAUAUAUUUUCAUUAAAAUUUAUGAAGUGUUAAAUAUAAGUAUUUAAUAUUAAAUUUGUAAAAAAAAUGAAUUUAUGACUUUUUCUUAUAAAACUGAACAAAAUAACUUCUGGAAAAAUUUCUUAUAUUAUGGAGCGGAAGGACUUUUGUUAUAAGAAUGACCGAUAUUCAUUUAAGAGCGGAUGAACUUUUACUUAUAAAAAUGAUCAUUAUUCGAUGUUUUUUCUUUAUAAAUGUGAUGGAAUAUCAUUGCCAUGGAUAAUUUGGCUGUGGUAUACAUAAUAAUAAAUAGAUUAUACAAUUGAAAAGAAAUGAUAUAACAUUGAAAAUUAAAUAUGACAAUUAUUUUGAUAUAAUAUUUUUUUCUUUUUUAGAAGAGGAUGUCAUGUGCCUACCUAAUAUUAACUUUUACAAUUUUGAUGUUUGAGACAUGUCAUAAUAGAUGUUGUGGUCUUGUUUACCUCUCUUGUAGACUUCCACACCACACCCUUCAUCUCCCAAAGGAUCAACACAAACAUCAACUCAUUUCUUCCUAGUAUUAGGUCUCACUAAUUUCUACAUAUCUACAACUCUUGUUAAGCCAUAUACCCCGACAUAAGGUGAUGUGUUCCCCAUAGAUAUUGCAUAAUGUAUUUUUUCCCUUGAGCAUUGCAUAAUUCCUCACUCUCUUUCGGUGCAUAAUUUAUGCACACCAUGUUCUAGCUUACUUCCCACUACCACCACUACGAGAUAAGUUUUUUCCCCUCCACAAAUCUGCUGACAGAAUGAAUGCUUUUAACGUUUUGAAUAUAAAGAAGUUCAUUUGUUCCAUAAAAAUGGUUAUUGCUUCUUUAAUUAAAAAGGUUCCAACAAAGCAGAUAAGGGCAGGGCAACAAUUUCCUUAGCAGGUUGCAUAUCUGCAUUUUCUAACUCUAGUUUUUCUAGAUCACUCCAGGUAGACUAGAUCACUGCAGGUAGACUAUAAAAAAUGACUAUUAAUUUUUUCAUCCUAUGUUAUUCUCGCGAGUCCUAUUUUUUUAAAAUACCAUUUGUUUGAAUUAUAUAAUCUGAACUAGGUUUGGAUUAUAUAAUCCGAAAAUUUACGACCCUUUUCUAACCUGAAGCACCCUGAAGGAUCUUGAUGCUAAAGUGCAUAGGAUUGGUUCGGAUUAUAUAAUUAAUCCGAAAACAUUUUAGCCUGUUCGGAUUAUAUAAUCUGUAACGUGUCAAACACCCCAUGAAAAGUCAACCAAUGGAGGGAAAAAGGGGUGUUUCUGAUUAUAUAAUCCGAAAUGUAUAAUAAACAAUUUGGAUUACAUAAUCCGAAGUGUAUCAACACACAGACAGACAAUGUCUGUUUUGGCUGACACAUGAAUGUUACGCUUUAAAUUUCUUCUAAAUGAUAUAAACAUGCAUUGAUCAGAUGUUUAAACUUAAAAUUCAAUCUGAAACAGGAAUUAACAACACAACACAAUUUUCAAAAAUUAAAUUAAAAACACAAAUUAUCCAAAUGUUACAUAAAAUUCAAAAUAUAAAUUAUCUGAAGAUUACAACAACAAAACAUAUAAAAUCAACCCCUGCCCCCUGCCUCUGCCCCUGUCACCCUCAACAUCACGCCUACGGCGGUAAACUUGUCCUCCAUGAAACUCUCUCAGGACUUCUUCCAAAUGAACUCCAUUCAUGAGACCUUUGCGCAAUCACACCACUGGACAUCACACCAUAGACAUGGUCUCUGAUACGGCCCAACCUUCCGGCCAGAUCCAAGUACCCCUGCUUUCUAUCCUCCUCAGAAGCAAUCUCAUAAAGGGCCUCCUACUCUGGUGGCCUCGGGAUUUGAACAUCCUGGUUUGGAAGAAUCAUGUGUGGAUGAGAGACGAGAUAAAGCCAUCUAAUGUAUUCUGCCUCCGCCUCCACACCCUAAGUAGCAGGUUGACCCAACUCCGGAGCUCUCAUCGCAUGAUCUAGAUGGUGCGCAUAGCGGUAGCUGAUCUUAGCUAAGGUCAUUUGAACAGAUACACUGCCAUGUGGAGAUCUGGGGACGGUCUGCUUGUACCCAAACUGGCGAAGCACUUGCUCCAGACGAUAUCUCACCUUGCGAGUACCGUAUCUGAGCCAUCAAGAGUAAAGACCUGUCUGCUCAAACAGGCAUACAACAUGGUGCUCAGCAUAUGGGGCCAUGAAAAUACUCGCCAUAUCCAGCUGAUCCAGAUGGUCUCUAUACUCGUCUGGUGCAAACAUACCUUUGAGCGGUACAAACAUCAUGGCGUGUGAAUGUUGAUGUUUCCGAUAUCCACCCCAUACAUCCUUGAUACCCAUACUCCUGAAGUGUUAAUAUACCCAAGUCUGCAACAAAGACAACCACAUGUAAAUAUACAAACAAUAAAGACAUACAAAUGCAUAAACAGACAUACUUAUUUAUUUAUUUAUACCUGCAACAGAGACAAGUUGUAACGCCCUAUUUCUAUUAAAGCAAUAAAACAUGCGAAUAAUAAUAAUAUUCAAGAAUUAGUCGCUACUUCACCAAAAUCAAAGGAAUUCAAAAUCGAAUCAACGGUCAACAUGCAUGUAUAUAAAACCUCAUUAGUCGCAGUGGAUACAAAAUUCUUAUACAUCAAGCAUACAUGUCAAAUAAUCUAAAAAAUGCAUAAGCAUAAAAAUCUCCAAGUCCGACAAGGGGACAAAUCUCAAAACACGAAUAAAUCCAACAAAAGAUCUAGAGCUAUCACACAAGAUCCCUAGAUUAGAGCCGACUCUACUCUAAGACCUGAUAGUAGAGAAAGCUCACACUAUCCAGCAACACCAAGUACUCACCAAGCUACUAUUCAUGCACAACGUCUACUUACCCAUACAUGCAAGCAGGCGGACAAACCACUAGGGGUGAGCAUUACAUCAACAUAAUCCACAUAAUCAAUUAAGCAGGAAUAAUUAAAUUCAAGUAAUAUGUAAUGGAUCAAGAGUAGAUAAUUUUCAAAAAUACAUUCUUACCAAUUCACAAGUUUCUCAAUUCAUAUAGUCAAUAAUGAUACAAUUCAUCAAUCAAUCAAAUAUAAUCAUCACAAUUAAUUAUUCACAACCACAAUGCACAUCAAAUACAUUCACAACUAGGACUCAUGUCACAACAUGAUAUGAUCCUAGACACAACUCUAUAUGCAUGUGGUACCAGUCACACCAAUAUUAGGUUGUCGCCCUGAUGCCGACAGAACAUCAUAAUCACACCAUCACACCAUUUGGAUAUAUAAAAUAUCUGUCACCAUCAGUCAUGUAUGCAUGAACAUAUGACUCAACAACAAUGCAUAUGUUCACACAACAACUCACCAAAUUCACACCAAUAUUACUUGCAUAAAUGCAUGCACACCAAUUCGUCAUUUCUCGACAUAUAUGAUCUUACCGACAAUUCACAACAUCACAUAUAUAUAUAUAUAUAUAUAUAUAUAUAUAUAUAUAUAUAUAUAUAUAUAUAUAUAUAUUCAUCCACCAUAUCAUAAUAAACAACAUAUAUGGAUUCACCAAUAUCAUCAAUUUCACAUAAUUUCACAUCAAUUACAUGAUUUGCUCACAUUCCAAGUAAAGAGGAAAAUACAUCACCUUAAGAUAAACAUCAUAUUCAAUACUCAACUGUCAAUCAAAUACUUCCAUAUAGUCAUACAAAACUAAUUAUGAAAGAUUUAUAAGGUGACUUGUUAAAAGAAUUAUUUCCAACAAAAUCCAUAUCAAGUGACAACCGGUCAACAUUGAUAAUUCCACAAUCCCACCCGAAAAUCAAGUUUGACAUGAUUAAAACAUUGAACCAAAUUUACACGCAUCAUCUAAGUCCAUAUGAACUGUAGACCAAGCUUGCAACCUUCUUAGUUCGCAAAAUUUCAAGUUUCGACAAAGUUUGAAAUUCCCAAGUUAAGACUCAAAUGAAGAAAUUCAAGUUUAGACAAGCAAUCAUUAUUCCAGUAGGUUUUUGGGGAUUAACAGUAGUUAAACAUGCUUAAAGAAUCAUUUAGGGAACUUCGGAUUGGCCCCAAAAGACCCGAAACAAAAGAUUAAUGUGGCUGAAACUGGAGCUGUUCGCUUAAGCGACCAUCUGAUUCGCUUAAGCGAACGAGUUACAGUAGCAACUCACGUUGUUCACUUACUGAUCGCUGACUGGUCGCUCAUCAGUUCGCUUAAGCGAACGAGUUCCAGUAGCUACCAGAAAACUUCGCUUACCAGUUCGCUCACAGUUCGCUUAGGCGAACUAAACCCAGAAAAAUAUGAAUGUUCGCUUAUCAGGUCGCUUAAGCGAACCUCUAAGCGAACCUUCACAGGUUUGCAGAAAAUGUUACGGGUUUGAACCCCUUUUCAUCCCAAAUCCUCAAUUUUGAUCCCUCAUUGUCCAAAUGUGUUUCUAGAACAUGUUUAUAGGUCAAUAUGAGUAAAAAGACUCACAAAGACUCAAUCAAACUUGAAACACUUGACAAUUGGACCAAUUCAUAAAUUUCACCAAAACACCAACAACAUCUCAUUUCUCAACAACAAACCAUGAAUCAUGCAAACCCAAGCCAUGAAUUAUCAUCAACAACAUGACUAAACAACAACAACAUCAAUUGAUCAUGAAACUUAUCACAAUUCAUCAAGAACAAUGCAUAAUUCACCAAUUGAGCAUAUUUUCACACAUAUCCAUUUUUCAUACUUUGAACAUACAAUUCAACUAACAACAAUUCAAUCAUUCAUAACUUCAUACAUCUAAACAUGUCAUCACAAUUAGAGCACGAAUUUCAUCACAUAUGAACAAUUAAUCAAUUCAUUCAAAUAAGCACUUAUCGUACAAAUAAUUAAAAUUUUCAAAAGUGAUUAUGAUGAAGACUAACCCCUUACCUUAGAUAAGGAUCAACCCAAACUUAGGCUUCAAUUUAGCUCCUAAGCUCACCCAAUUCUUGGUUCUUCAAGUUCUCCACUUCUAACCCUUUUUCUUCUCUUCCCCACUUUCUCUCUCUACCUCUCUCUAGAAAUAUCUUAUGAAAUGAAAAUGAAUGAUAUUUCAUAAGGCAACUCAUAAGGUAUAUUCCCUCUUAAUGGGCUUAACUUAGUUUCUAGUGGACUUAACCCAUUUCUAUUCAAACCAAAAAUGUUUCUACACUCUAACCGGCAAUUCACUAAUAACGGUUAAAUAACGGUAAGAUGUCACUAACGGUCACUAAACGGUAAAAUCUCAAUUUUACUCUAAUAACUUAAUGAAAUAACUAUUCUCUCUAAUCACUAAAAGUAACUCUCACAAAAACUUACAAUUUUACCCGUUCUCACCAAUGACCAAAAUACCCAUAAGUCUAAAAUGACUAAAAUACCCUUCUAACACGGAAACCUAUGAAAAUGCACCCCAUGAUGAAUAAUCACGCACAAGCACAUAUAACACGUAAUAAAAGUAAUUAAAAUAAAUCUAGCUAAAAAAAUUGGGUUGUUACACAAGUAACCUGACAGAUGCUUCAUAUUGUAGUGGGAGGCGUUGUUAAGCUCCUUGUACAAGUGUGAAAGUGUAGCAGCUCCCCGUGAAUUACUAGCCACAUCCUCCAGGUUUCUGAAGUACCUCAGAUAAGCAACAUGCACAUGGUAGGCGUUCUUAUCAGUGAAGAGCGUGAUACCUACUAAGUAUAGUAAAUAUAUGCGGGGAGCCUGCUCACGCAACUUCCACGCCAGAACCAUAUAUAUCACCCUCAUUGUUCGCCCCCAACUACUCCAAAAGACGCUCCUUGAAAAUCUUCCUUAAGUAGAUAAAUCGAGCACAUCCACCGUUAGUGUCAGUCACCUCCUUCAUUGCGUCUCUGAAUCAUCCCCUAAAUGUUGAAUCAUUAUCUCUACCACCUCGACCUUUGUCAUACUUUCGUGGAACAAAAGCAUACCAUCAAGGGGGAGAUGCAGCAAACAUGACACAUCAUCAAGUGUCACUGUCAUCUCCUAAAAUGGAAGAUGGAAGCUCGAUGUAUCCUCGUGCCACCUCUCCGCAAAUACAGAACACAGCCCAUAGUUAAUCUGUUGUAGCUGGUAUUCUGCAACCACUAAAGACUGGUGGCUCUCAGUCCUUCACACCACCACAAUAUAAUCAAUAUAAUACUUUAAAUUAACAAAAAAAUAUAAUAGGGGCACAAUUAACCAAAAUUAAUCAAAUAUAUAUUACGAAAUAUUAACAAACAUAAUAAGUGCACAAUUAACCUAAAUUAAUCAAAUAUAUAUUAUCUUACCUCACCAUCAGCCGCCAUCCUGGCCACAUGAACAUGGUACCUCGUCAGCACAGUAGUGUUGUGUGGGCCACCAGGAUAGUCAUCAAGUUGCACUGGUUCAGGCUACGCCACACAUAUCCGCCUCCGCUGCUCAUCAUCAUCCACCUCCUCCUCAUCAUCAUCCUCCAUUUGAUACUCCACCUCCAUCUCCAU
rnacentral:lncRNA from 1 species